UCAUUCACAACUAAAAAUAUGAUGCUAGCUAGUUGUUCUAUCGCCAUCAAAUGCCAAGUUAUUCAUCACACUCCACAUCAAUUGAAGCAUGUACGCUGUAUUAUUAAACAUAGAAAAUAUUCCGGGUAUAAUUAAAUCCAUUUAAAUGGAAAUUAUUCUAUUUGGGAGAGGAGACCAACUUCAAACAAUGAUGAUGAUCAAACUUAUGAUGAUUUAUAGCGAUCAGUAUAGCAAGCAAGAAGCAAUUAUAAUUAAGGCUAAGACCGAGCAAAAGUGAUCAUCUACGUACCAAAAAUAUAACAUGCUAGUCUUAAUUUUAAUUAGGUUAGUGCUAGAAAAAAAAAAAAAAAAACCAACAUAUAUUUUAUCAUGUAGACCCAUAAUGUCAGCAACCAAAUAUAUUGAGCACAUGAGAUCAAUUCUCAACCAUCCAAUUUUGGUCACCACAGCUAAUUGUCACAAACAAUUUGAAUUUCUAAAAGUCCUUUUUUUGUGAUUUUAAUUGAUUUUGACGCGUAUUGGAAAUUAGAUAUGAAUAUGACGUUAGCUAGCUAGCUACGCUAUUGGAAGUUCGAUUGGUUUGGAUAAUGAAGAUUAAAGCAUCGACCAAGCAUGUGGUCUUCCAUGUGCAUGGUGGAACCAUGGAUGCCACCAUUCACAUUGUUCCUCAGGCUUUAUAUAUAUCAAUGACAAAUCACUACCUUUUUUUUUUUUUUGGGUGAAAAUGAAAGAACGUGAAAGUCAAGUACCACACUAACACCAUUUCACAAAGAGAUUUUGGGUUGCUUGUGUUUCAAGAAUUUGGUGUUAUUGUUGUAAUAGAAAAAUUGUGAAUAUAACCAAAAACUCGUGAAAUGUAAAGAAAAUUUUGUAGCAGUAUAAUGUUGAAGGUAAUGCAAGAUAAAGAUGGCGAGAAGAUUUUGAUUUUUUUUCCCUUCUAUUUCACUUUCAUAAUCAGUUCUAGAAAAUGUCAUAGUCGUAGAGGAUCAACAACAAAGUUAACGCAUUGACAAAGACAGAGGAAUAAGAUAAUAUUUAUAUGACAUAAAUAGAAGAUUAGAAACCAACCAAUAAUCAUGCCCUUUUUCAUACUUAAUUUCCAAUUGAUUAAUUAAGUCAAGUAAUUAAGUUAAACAACUCUCUAAAUUAUUAUUUUUUUUUUUUUUUAAAAGCCACUUUUAAUGGAGAAAUUCAGCGCACGAGUUCAACCAAGAAAGUUUAGGUAAUUGACUCCAAAUGUACGUAGAAAUUACUUGCAUGUACACUUUAUUCAAUUAUUUUGCUACCUAUUUCUGACUGCUACGUUACCGUUUCACCACAUGCACUUAUGCAUUCAACCUAUCUAAUUGACGCAAAUUAACUUAUUUUGUAAGCCCCUUAUUUUAUUUAUCAAUGCAGAAAUCAAAGUAUUUUCAAAAUAAUAAUAAUAAGGCUUAAAGGAUUUUUAGAUCUUAUCUGUUAAAUCAAUUAAUAUCUGCUUCUAUCCUCUAAAAUGUGAGGUGUGUAAUAUAUUAAUGUGCAAUAUUAGGUUUGUACUCCGAAUUCUACUUGUAUCAAAAUUACUAGGGUCGGUCCUUAUAAGAAUCACAAUGUGGUAGUGAAAUGAUAAAAUAAAUAACAAUAUUAAAUCUUAAUUAUUAUCAUAAUAUUUGAGUUUCAAUUGAUGUUACAGUUUAUCUGUAAGUGCCACAUCAAGUGAGAUAUCAAUAUUUAUUAAUUUUUCAUGAAUUACAAUUUUACACCUCUCUACAUAAAUGUUAAUAAUUUAGUUGAGAAAAAAAAAUAUUGGGCUAAUAAUGGGGAUUCAUAAAAUUUAUUUUUAUAAAAAGUGUAAAAAGGAGAAAAAAAAAAUAGUGAUGCAACAUAUGCCAUCAUUUCUGUGAAUAGGAUAUGGUGGAGACCCGCACCCGAUCAAAAAUGUCAAACUAUAAGAGCCAGCUCAAAUAUAACUGGAUAAACAAAAUGGGACCCGGUAGAAUGAGCCAAUCAUAAAUCAGCAACCAGAAACACCGACCACGAAUGGAUGCGAAAGUCACGUGGCCACUCACCGCUCAUUAAGGGACAGCACUCAGCACACGUACAUGAACUCCCUCUUUUUCAAUUUUCAUUGGCUUACAACUUUCAACUUUCUAUUAAAUUAUCCCUUUGCCUUUCUGUAUUAAUUAUUAAAUUUAAUAAGCUAAUAAAUAAAUAUAUAAUUAUUUUUCAUUUUAUUCUUUUUAUUAUCUUCUACACAAUCUUUGCUUGCGGAGUGAUUGCCGGGGCGUAUAAAUUUACUACCGGCACAACAGAACCGUUGGAUUCAUUUUAAUUUAAUUUAUUGCGAUAAUAAAAUAAUUUAAAAAUUAAAGAAAAAAAAAGAGGGAACGAGCAUGUGAAAAUGCCCACGUGGCAGUAAGUACGGAUCGGUUGGUCCAACAAUUAACGGAAGAAUCUAUUAGCUGGAAUAAAUAAAUAAAAGUUUGAUGUCUUAUCCAAAACAUAACAGACACUAGAAUAGCCUUUGCUGGCUGCCAUAGAUUGUGGGGCUAAUUUAUUUCAAUUAUAUAAUACUUCUUAAUUACAAUUUAAAAAAAAAAUAUUUUAUUCAACAUGAUCUAAUUAAUCAAACAGUAAUUCGUGCCCAAAUGUUCAUGUUUACUUGUCAUUUUCACUUGUCCGUAACUCUAAAUCCGAACCCAACACUAUUGAUACAAGUUAAAUGUAAAUAUUAAUCGUUUGAUUUUUUAUCUGAUCAAUUAGUCGAAUGAUGUCUUAUUCAUGUCGAAUUUAUGAAUCGUGUCACCUCUAGUUAUAUAUAUUAGUAUAUCAAUGUUUAUCUUGUAACAUCUCUGUUUAAAUAAUUAUUAAUUGGGUUUUUGAGAAUAUACAAAUAUUGGCAAUAAGGAAAUUUUAGCUAUACCAAAGCCUUUCUGUAUGUAUGGUGUCAAAAGAUUGAGAGAAGAUAGUGCUGGUUUUGGGUGGUUGACAGAGAGGAAAAAGGGCUAAUUGUCUCCUUUUAACAACUAAUAAUCUUUUUGCUAGGUGGGAAUCAAAGAAUAGGAAUUAGGAAAAGCCUAAAGACGGGGUUGUUGUCAUUAAUUAAGGAGGUAAAUAAAGUAAAGAGUCAAGUCAAGUUUGUGUAAUUUACAAGCACUACAUGUCUACACAAGUUUCUUUUUUUCUUUCUUUUUAGUUUGAAGACCCCACCUAUAUGUUAAUUAACCCAUAGUUUUGUUCAUUAACUACCUAAUUAAGUUGAUAAUUACUUGAUUUUCCCGUUCACCCGAUUUCUAUCGGUUAUGGCCUUAUGGGCGUGAACUAAAAGGAUUAGUUCAAUAAAACAAAAUGAUGGUUAGGACUUAAAUAUCGCAAGAACCAUUUCAAGAAUUUUUUUUUUUAAUAAUUAAAGGUAGGGGAAGUUGUCACAUUAUGGUUUCCUUAUCACAUUAUGGCUUCCAAAUUUUGAUUAUUGAUUGUAGUUUUCAAUUGAUUCUUGGCAUGCACUCUCAUGCAAUUUAGAUAUAAAUACUAGAGAUGAUUAUAACUUUCAAUACAAGCAAAUUUAUUUAUUGCUACGUAUAUGGGUUUUAAUACAUGAUUAUGGUGUUAAAGAAACGAAGUGUGCUUUGCUAUCCAACUGGCUUAAUGGUUAUUAAUUAUCCUCUUAAAAAUAUAAUUUUUCAAGGCCAUAACCCCACUUCACAUGGGUUAAAAUCUUUUAUCUUCAUCAACCUAGAUUCUUGCAUUCAUCUUUGGCUCCACCACCAACAACAAGAAACAGAAAUAAAAGUUUUCUUUUUUAAAAUAAUUACAAGUGAAAGAGAGCUGCAAAUUUCUUGGAAAAAUUUGAUGUGUAAGAUUGACCUUGCUUGUUACAUAUUUGAUAUAUAAUUAAACGCGUUUUGACAUCUAAUUGUAAUCAUUGCAUGCCUAUCAGCCAUGAUUCCAAAUGUCAAUAAUUAAACUCAUUUGCACUUGUUUAUGAUGUUGAGUUGAGAGAAAAAGUUUUACCUUAUUAGUUAAGAAUUAAGAGAAGUGACUGGAGGUAAAUGCCCUUUUCACAUUUCCUUAUGAUUAUCUUUGAGCAUAACAAGCCUGGUCUAUAUGCCUUUCAACAUUAAAUAUAAAUAAAAAAAAAAUUACCAAGUUAGGGUUUUGAGAUUUCUCUUUAAAUAAAAGCCAAUAAACACAUAUGUGAUCAUUCUUCUUUAUAAAUGGAUAAAAUAAACUCUAAUUAUUAUGUAAAAGUGAUUAUGAACAUUAGACUUCAAGUUAAUUGCGGUCUCACUAAUAAUCACUUUCAUUUUGGUGAUUUAAUGAUAAUAAAUGAAUGUAAUUAAACAUCAAUGGCAAAUGGCGAUAGGCACCUCUACUAUAGCAAUAAGAAAGAUUUGAAUGACUUUAUUUAAAGCACAAAUUAUUUUAAAAUUCCACAAAUACCGGAUUAAUUGAAAAUCAAAUUAUUCCUUCUUCGUUUUGUUUCCUAAUUUAACGGUACUUUUAGCACAUGACUCGCCGAUGAUGUACAAUAAUUAUAAUGAAAGAUUAUGUAGAGGAGUUGGUCAAAUCCAAUGGAAACAAGUACAAAAAUACUGUAACAUUCUUCAAGGAAAAUUAUCCCCUUUUUCUUUUCUCCCCUUGGUUCAUUGCAUAUGAAACAUAUUGCCUUAAAUUUGUUGUUAUAUUGUCAUAUUUUAUUUAUGUACAGAUAAUUUUAUUAUCUACAUUUUAAACUAAGUAUGGAAAUAAACAAAUGUAAUGUUCCAAAAAGAGGAAUCAUCUUUUGACAAGUUUCAACUCACAAUCAUUUAUUCAAUCAUAUUGUAUCUAAAGCAAAUGAUGAGUUCUUAUGCUCUGCAUGUUCUGAAUUUGGAAUGUUUGUGCCCAAGAAAUUAAAAUAUUGAUUUUAGCAAAAUGUCAAAUUAAAAUAAUGACCUAAAUAUUACUUGUUUUAGUUAAGGGGCAAAUUUCAUGACAUUCUUAUGGUUUAGUUUGGUCUAAUUCCCUAAUAAAUCCUUUGCUCGUAAAAUAUAAAAAAAAAAUACUUACGUACACAUUUUAAUAAAGUGUCUAUACUAAUUUUAUUAUUAAACAUAUGGUUUGAUAGCAUGUUUGCAUAAAAAAUAAAAAUGAAGGCUCUCAUACUUAAGAAGGAUUUAUCAACUUGGAUGAGAAUUUUGAUGAGAUGAUCCGAAUAACAUUUUAAAAGAGUUAUCUAUUUAAAAGAAAAAAAAAAUGAAAGGAGAAGAAGUAUAAAACAAUAAUUCGUUUCUUUGCAAAAUAGCAUUAAAAAUAUUUAUAAUCUCCUGCACAAUAGACUAUGCGAUUGGUAAAAACAAUUUAAUAAAUAACGUUUAUUUCUCAAAUAAAAAAAACUUCAGUCUCAGUUUUGUUUCAGAUCUCUAUACAUGAACAUGCAUAUAGCUUAUUUUUAAUCUCUAUCAGAAAAAAAAAAAAAAAUAGUUUCAAUCCUUCAUCUAAUUCAUUUAUAUCUUUUAGACCUUCCUAAAGAAUUAACUACCAAAAUUGAGCGGGGUUUCGUGGUUCUAGUACUUCAAUUCAAGGACUGCUGAUUAAAUCCAAAAAAGAGACUUGCAUGAAACUUCUUUUGCUUUUGUGUACGUUUACUUUGAAACACGAAGUUUCCAUGAAAUUGAGCGAAUCCGUCCAGCAUUAGAAGACAUUACAUUUUAAAGGAUUUAAGAUAAAUAUAUCAUCAAGCAUUGGCAUUAAUAUUAAUCUUCACCACUAUUACCAUAUCAAUCGAGAAUAUUGGAUAGUCGACUCAGCUUUGAAAAAACUCAAUGGAAAAAGACGACAUUCUCUUAUUUCGGUAAAAUAAUUCUGAGAACAUUCUAAUUUUUAGAAAUAGUUACGUACACCUCUUUUAAGACAUGCUCAUGUAUUUAUAAAUUGUAACCGGAUAAGUUUUUUUUUUAAUAAUAAACGGUUGAUUUGGAAAAUUACGUCUAUACUAAAAAAAAAUAAAAAUUCAUCAUUUGUUUAGUAUUAAGUGAAUAAAAUGUUGAUCUAAAGUUUCUCUUUUAAUUAUUUAAAACAUUAGAAGGUAAAUAAACAAAACUACAAAAGCUUAUGGAGCAUGAAUUAAACAAACAAAUUGAGAAGAAACAGAGGUUGCAAAGAAUUAUUGAUGAAUUCUGAAUCGAUGUAAUCAAGUAAUUAUUACACACACACACACACACACACACACAUAUAUAUAUAUAGUAAUUUGUGGCCAAUGAAAAUUGACCGUUUAGGUGGAGAAGUGCAAGAUCCAAAUUUGAGCUUAUCACUAACAUACCUAAUUAUUAUUAUUUAAUUACAUGGUGAAAAACCACAUGUGUUUACAACAGUUGUGAUAUAUGUUUAUUGAGAAUAUAUUACUAAUUAGUGGCAGUAAUAUUACAGGGGUGAGGUUUUGUUUGAGAUUGAGGGGCUGUAAUUUUUAAGUUAUAAUUGUUGUGAAAAAAAAAUUAUAACUAUAAAAUAAAAGUUAAUAUUAUGUAGUAACUAUAAUUUUUAAGUAAUAAUUUUGAUAAAAUUGGUAAAAAUAUAGUAAAAUUAUCGUUAUAUAAGUGUGCAAUUAUACUAAUUUAACUUUUAAAUUAUAGCAAAUAGUAUUUAUCAAAUACGUUAGUAUUGUAUCUUAAAAAUAAAAGUACCAAACCUCGAUAGCAAACAGGCUUUCAAUACCGAAAAAGCAAUCAAUCAAGACAAGAAAAUUGUUGCACAAUGUUUGUGAACACUAAUUAGGAAAAACGAAAAGAAAAAAUCAGCCCACCCUAAAAAAUAUUAAUUACGAGCUUGAAUUCGCCACUGCACAUGUUCCUUUCUUAGACAAACUUUAGGGGCAUUUAGCCAUUUUUAAACAUAAAAGAUAUCUCCUUUUUUCUCGGAAAGAAAUUUGUGUAAUUGUUUAUGAAGACAAUACGGUACCUACGAUCAUUUCUCGGAGUCAUGAGGUGUUGUCACUGCCAUUUUCUCAAAAAUUAGUUUCAUAUUAAUUAUUUCGGUGGUUAAUUUUUUUUUUUUCAGAAAUAAUAAUAAUUAAGUUCACAUGUAUGUCCGGAAAGUAUACGCAUGCAAUUCAUACGCAUGAAACAAUGCCAAAGGGAGAGAGAGCCCUCAAGAAAUAAUUAAAACCACUGCAUGUGUGUGCAUGCAAUUGCAAGAUAUGUUGAUGACUUGAUGCAUUCAAUCAUCAAAAAGAAAAAAGAAAAAAAGUCACAUUAAAAUAUAUACAUAUAUAUAAAAGAAUAACAAGAUGAAUACCAAUUAAUUCGAUAAGCAUGCAUUUUAUUCUAAUACUACUUUACAUGAUACAUUACUGAAAAUAUUACUUAAUAUUAUACCGUACAAAUUCAGAAAAUGUCUCAAUAGAUCAUAGUUAAAAUCCAACACACAUAAAGAGAUUUAAACGACUUUAAGGGUGCGUUUGAGAUUAAGGAUGGACAGCUGUAGUUUAAAAGCUACAACACUAAAGUAUUUGGUAAACAUUAGCUGCUGUAACUUGGAAAUUAUCUUGAUAUGAUUUUUCACUUGCAUGAUGAAAAAUUUAUUAUAUAUUUAAUAAUUUUAUCAAAAUUAUUAUUAAAAAAUUAUAUUUAUUAUAUACUAUUAAUUUUUAUUUUAUAAUUAUAAUUUUUUUUCACAAUAAUUGUAGUUUAAAAAUUAUAGCACCUCAAUAUAAAACAGGCUCUAAAAGCCCACACUGCUCCACUGAUAGUGAUUUACAAUUGGAUAAGCAUUAAUGGUUAUAACAUUAAGAAACAAAAAUCUUUAAAGAAUUAUGAUGAAGUUGAUUUUAUGGAUAUAGAAAAUGAAGCAAGCACAUGGAUGCAUGUGCAAUGAAAAAUUAUGAGAAAAUCAAAUAUCAAAUUCCAAUUUUCCAGUUGCCUUUUUUGUUUGGUUGGCUGCUUAACAAAUAACAAUAACAUUCAGUUGUCCCCACGUCACUUUUAUUCUCUGUGGCCACUCACUUUCCGCCACGUAUAACUUUAAUUUUUCACACGGAAGUUGCCACGCUCUCAAUUGAAUUUGCCUUGCUUGCUUGCCGCCCCCACCAAAUCCAAUUAUAUCCAUUUGUCAAUUUCAAUUGACAAACAAACACAAAAAAUGAUUUUGGUUGGGAAAACAAAAUUAAUUUCAAUAAUUUGUUUUUGGUGAUGUGGGUCAACAAUUGUAAUAAAAUAAUACAUUUACAAAAUAAAUGUGCUGUAGGGAUUCGAGAAUUUAAUAAGCUUUCAAUGAGGAAAUUAUUAUGAUUUCAUGCCAUUGAUUUUGUGGAUUUUUUUUUUUGCCCCCCUUUUGGGCUCAUCAUGCUAAAUGAACCGAAAUUUCAGCAAAAUUUAAUGGGUAUGUUCAAUUUCUUAAUUAUAGAACAACAAAACUAGUUUUUAAAUUUCAUUAAAAUAAUUUUGUGCCGUUCAAAAGAAAAAUAAGAGAGUAAUGCUAGGCAUCAUAAAUUUUUCAUCACAAAAUUACAUGACAAGUGAUAUGAUAUGAUAAUAUUCAAUUGAAUAAGAAAUUUUUAUAUAUUUUUUUAGUUAUUUAUUAAAUAUUACAAGUACCCACAUUAUGAAUGACACAUUAUUGAGUAUCUCAAGAAUAGUAUCUCACAAUCUAAUUUUUUGACUAUCUAACGCUGCAUAAAUACCAUAAGAUACAAUAUCUCUAAGAUACCAUUGUCACAGUCCACAUCAUUUAUAAAGUAAAAAAUUGCAGGAUAAUUUUUGGAAUAUUUAUCUUUACUCAAAAGGAAAUUGCUGUUAACAAAAUUCUUGACAGCUUAGGCAAGACUUGAGAGUACGAAAGAAAUGGGCCAAUGAGCCUGAGGAGCCCUGAAGCUUUUACUGGGCAGGCCCAUGCCCUUGGCUUUCUUGGAAAUUGUGGCAAAACAAGGUCAUUUGAUAUUACAUUAAAACCAGGCGGCAGUGAUACUAGUAUAUAGGGGAAUUGUUUUUAUAUAGUUAUAAUUUACACAAGUUAUAAAUGAGAAUAAAUUCCACAUUAUAAUAGAUCUCAUUUUAUAAAACUUACCUCCACAUGGUAAUAAUUAUUUGGUAUAUUAUAAAAGAUAUAUACUAUGUUAUAUUAAAGGUUUAAGAUUGAAUACAAUAUUUUUCAAAAAUUAAUGAGAAAAAUGUUUUAUUAUUCAAACUUUUCAUGAUGACUUUACAUCAUCCCUGCAUUAUAUAUAUGUAUUAGUUUUCUGAAACAUAGUUUAUCUUUUUUUUAAAUCACUGUUCAUAUAUUAAAUAUGACAUGCUCUAUUAAUUAAUUAUGGAUGUAGCACAUGUGUUGCCUCUAUAUCACUUGCACUAAGAAUAAUUAAAUAAUAAUAAUAAUUUUUACUUUUAUAACUUUAUUAAGUUAUAAUCUCCUUAUAAUGAUAAAAUUAGUUUAGUCCCAAUAUCUAAAUAGAAUUUUCUGUAGUAGCAUCUGUUCAACUUCAACGAUAGCUCUUCCUCCCAAGCGAUUGAAAUUAAUUCUCUUUGGCAAUUAAGUUCAUCAAUGGUUUAUCCAAACCCUCAACAAAUUAUUGUAAAUAAAUAAAUAAAUAAAUAAAUUUACAGAAAUUAUCCGAGCUACACGGUGUUGAUAAAAUUCAAUAUGACACAAAACUCUAGAUCUGGAUCUCGAGUCUUGAGCCUUCAUUUCUACACACAUUGAAUCAAAGGAUUCUUAAAAAAGGUUAUAUAUACCAAUAAUAAUAAAAUAAAAUAAAAUGCUAUGUGAAAGAGGAUAUUUACUAAUAAUAAAUUCGGAAAAAAGAGCUAAAAAAAGGAUGAGGGCAACCAUUUGAAGCUUUCGAGAUGCCAUCUUUAAUUUUGCUAAAAAAGUAUUAUUAUAAAAAAAUAAAAGUUUUGAAAUUAAUAUUAUAAGGGUUAUUUUCUUUGUACUAUUUAAGUUACUGAGAAAUAACAAAUAAGUGCACUAAGUAUUGCACAUAAUAUUUUACUACCAAGGAUUACAAAAUAUUACAUUUUACUAUUUUUUUUUUUUGUUAAUUGACCUAUAAAAUACCAAUUUUACCAUUAUUUUAAGGAAAAAAACAUUAUAAUAAAAUCUGACAAUUUUCGCUAAUUGUAUCAAAAGCACAAAAAAUUAAAUAGAAGUUUAUAUUUACACAUAAAACCUAUAACCUAAGGUUUUUGAAUGCAUUUAUUACAAUAAUUUAUCAUUCAAUUAAUAUCAAUUUAAUAUUAAUUAUUAAUUAUUGAUAAAAUUUAACAAUAUAUAUACACACGUGCGCGCGCACAUACAUAUACACAAUGACAAACAUUUUAAAUAAUAAUAAUGUUUAUAUUUAAUAGAUAACGUACAAAUGUAUAAGUUUUUAAUUUUUCUUGAUCAUCAAUAAUUAAAAUUAAAAUAAUAUUUAUCUGAAUAAAAAAUAUUAGAACAACGAUUGAUAUUUAAUUAAUAAUUAAUUUUCAUUUUAAUUAGUCCUUCACCAUAUACUUUUUAUUUAGUAUUUACAAAGAAUUCAGUAAAUAUGAAAUUUAAUUAGAAGUAAUGUACCUCAUAAGGAUAUACAUCAUGAUGAAUCAAAUCAAACUCCCCAAAAUUAUUAAGUGGAGAGAAAAAAUUAGUAUUUAUUUUCCAGUUAUUUUGGGUUGCUCACCUUUUUCCAGACUAACUAUUACUUCUUAAUUAUUAUUUGCGGAAAAUUUAACCAACUGGCCCAAUGUGCUUUUAAUCCAAAUUCAAUUGGACCGAAUAGAUUUUUGGUUGGGCCAGUCCAAGGCUCCAAGCUUAGAAAUUACAAAAGUAAAAUACAGCAUUUUUGGCCAUUUUAAGUCUAAGUGAAUGAGUGAGCAUCAAAUCUAGUAUAUGGUGGGGGUUAUUCUCCAAAAAAAUAAAAAAUAAAAAAUAAAUAAAAAAUAAAAAUAAAAACUAUGAUGGGUUAUUAGUUAGGUGAGCAUCAAAUCUAGUAUAUGAUGGGUGGUUAUUCUCCCAAAAAUAAAAAAAAAAUAAAAACUAUGAUAGGUUAUUAGUUAGGCCCGUUUGAGAUUGUUUUUAAGAGGAUUAAGGGUGAUUUUGAAAAUUAAAAAAUAAUUUUAAUAUUUGGUGUAUUUUUUUAGAAAUUAUUUUUGGUAAAAUCACUCUAUCCUAUAGCCAACUUUGAAAAGUAAAGAAGAAAUUGUUUUUCAAAAUCUGACUUUAAGAAUUAAUUUUGUACUUAAUAUAAUUCCAUAUAAAUCUUCAUAUAUAUUUUAAAAUUUUAAAAUUAUCUUUAUUAAUUAGGAAAUAAAAUGAAAUAAAAUCAUUAACUUUAAAAAGAUUAAAACUAUUACAAAUUAUAUUGAGAUAACAAACUAAAAAAAUAGAAUUAUAUUUAUUUUAGUUAUCAAUUAUUAUAUAUACACAAAAAAUAUAUUUGAUAUACAUGUUUAUAAAUGUAUAAAUAAAUUUAAUUUAACAUUAUGUUCAAUUUAGUUAUUUAUAUUUUUACAAUGGUUUAAUAAUAAAAUUUACAGAAUAUAUACGACUGCUUUUAAAAUUCACAGUAUUUCUAAAAAUAGAUUUUACUAAAUGUUUAAGUAAAAAUAGAUUCUAAAAACAGAUUUUACAGCACAAUUAACAUAAAUUAUUUUUAAAAUUACAAUAUCGCCAAACUACGCUUAUUUUAAUAAUCCAAAUACGUGCAAAUUGAGAAAUCGUUGAAAGCUUUUUCAACCAUAUUAUAUAAUCUAACAUGUAAUAAGAAUAAUAUGUUUUCUUUUCUUUUCUGCAUAAGCGUUGGAAAUUUUAAUAUAUAUAAUAAGCAUUUUUUUUUCAAAACAAUAAAUAAUAAGCUUCUACUUCAACAUGAUGACGCUGACGCGCAAUCGUAGCAAACUGAGGUGGCAAAGUUGCGGACACGGCGGGCUACACGAUUGAAAAUCAUUUGGGUAUUUUAUCAAUUGAAUCGUUGUUUUUUAGUGGAAAUGGACUCAAAUACUUUGAGUUCAAAUAUUACAUCACUUACGUCCUUUAUGUUGACACCCAUAUCCCAUAUAUUACAUUAGUGGCUUAAAGUCGAUUUUACUCUUAACUUCAAUUAUUGCUUUUUUAAGCUUUGUUCAAAUCUGAACCAUGCUAUAUAUAUAAAAAAAAAAAACAUAUAUAUUUUGUAAAUUUCAUUUACGUUUCUUUCUAUUAUAUAGGUGCUAGUUAGUUUAACUGGUAAAAUCUCUUAGAAUAGUACAAAAGAUUUGAAUUUAAAUUCCUUUCAUGUGAUAAUGUGCAUGAACUUCUAAUAAGAAGCAUGACCUUCUAACGAGAACACACAUAAUUGUUGUUUUUCUAUUAUAUAAGUGACGGUUAGAUUAUCUUAUGACACAUACUGUUUUUACAUAUGUCUCACACACAUUGAUUCCAUCGACAAAGAGUUUAGGUGUGCUCAGUGCUUUGUUGAUAAAGCAUGUGCAUGAUCCCACGAUCUAUACUUCAUAUAAAGUCAUUUUUAGUAUCAAAUUUGUGACUACUCUUAUCUUUGAAAUGGAUUACAAUGUGUAGGGAGGACUCAAGUGAUGUAUUUUUAAAACUUCUGAUCUCUAAAUUCUUUUUUACAAACAAUAAGUUCUCAAAUGAUUAAACCCGAAAUACUAUUAAUGGAUAGAUUCGGUGACAAUGUUCACUUUCCAGCAAAUAGAUCACCAAACUACAAACAGAACGCAUAUUCCCUUUGCUUACGUAGAUGCCAAAGCUAAAGCGCUACAAAUGACUCAACACCAAAUGCAAUUUCUUUUCUUUCAACAAUUAUGAUUCAUGAAACCGCAGUAACAAACAACUUAUAAACAAAAGAAACAGAAGAGAGAUAUAAAGUCUCUGACUGAAACUGAUCAUGGGGAACCGUGAAGCACUCAAGAUUCUUUUAGCCAUAUUCUUGAUAACAACAACAACAACAACAACGGUGGUGUUGGUGGUAGCGGGGGGCACACAGCAACGCAUACCGACAACUUUACAAGGUCCAUUUGAGCCUCUAACGCGUCGUUUUGAUCCUUCGUUGCGUCGAGGAAGUGAUGACCUGCCAAUGAAUCACACCAGGCUUAAGAAGAACGUCACUUCAAAUUUCCCGGAACAGAUAGCUCUUGCAAUCUCUUCACCAACUUCAAUGUGGGUUUCUUGGGUUACUGGUACUACUGUUAAUAUCUUUACAUGUUCUUGAUGUUUGAUUUGUUUUCUUAUGUUUUGUGUUGUUUGAUGGAUUUGUUGAAAUGGGUUGGUUUGUUUUUGUUCAGGGGAUGCACAGAUUGGCUCUAAUGUGACUCCUCUUGAUCCUUCAACUGUUGCAAGCGAAGUUUGGUAUGGGAAACAAAGUGGAAAAUAUACUAGUAGAAGGGGAGGAAAUGCAACUGUUUAUAGCCAAUUGUAUCCGUUUAAGGGCCUUUUGAAUUAUACCUCUGGCAUCAUUCACCAUGUGAAGAUUGACGGUAAGCACAGCAUUGUGAAUUUUGAUGUUGGCAAAUUUAUGUGGCAUUAGGAUAUUUGUUCAAUUGUCAUUUGUCACAAUUUAUUACUCCUUUAUUGGCUGCUUGAGGAAUUGCAAUUCAAAGAUUAAUAUGUCUAGCUUGGAAUAAAAUUCUUAACUGGCUAUUUUUGAGUGCUUUACGAGGUGAUAGUGGUAGUUUGAUUAGGUAGAUGUUUAUGGGAUUGAUAUGGGUGAUGAUUGUGUUUGCUGCCUUUCAUUUUUCUUGAUUAGUAUCUAGCUGUACUGAGAAAGUUUACUUUGUAAUGACAAACUCUGCUGACAGUGGAGGCUGAUUAGAGAAAUUUUACCUGUCCUCUAUGAAUAGUCAACAGAUUAGAAAGCAUGAAAAAUGAUUGUAAAGAGUUUUUGUUGGCCUAAAGACUUACUUGUAUAUUGUGUUCAUUUUACUUCUAGAACCUCUGAGUUCUGUAUCUGAAUGAGCAUUGGUGAAGCUGAAAUGAGUUUAAGCCAAUGUAGUUCAAUGCCUCUCUUAACGGGAAAGCUUCAAUACCAGAUAUUUGAGGAUUCCUUAGUUUUAGUGGAAGCUCAUAAUCUCAUUCAAUAAUUAAAUAGGCAGAAAGUACUAAUUUCUUUGACUAACUUGUAGGUCUUGACCCUGGAUCAAAAUACUAUUACAAGUGUGGGGACAGCAAAAUUCCUGCUAUGAGUGCAGAGCAUGUCUUUGAAACCUUGCUGUUGCCCAGCCCAACUUCUUAUCCUCGCCGAAUAGCAGUUAUUGGAGAUCUGGGUCUCACUAGCAAUUCUUCAACAACUGUCGAUCAUCUGAUACAGAAUGAUCCCUCAUUGAUAUUAAUGGUUGGAGACUUAACUUAUGCAAAUCAGUACCUCACAACUGGUGGGAAAGGGGCUUCUUGCUACUCAUGUGCAUUCCCAGAUGCACCUAUUAGAGAGACAUAUCAGCCCCGCUGGGAUGGCUGGGGAAGGUAAUUUCUCAUAUGUUUGGUAAACUCUCGUGUCUUGCAUUUUUUCCUUUUUUGAUUAAAUUCAGUUGCUUGAACUGACCUUUACUUACAUGGCCUAUGCAUUUUUAGUGGUGAAUAUAUCUUGGCAAGCAGUAAGCUGUUAGACCCAUGAAAACUUAUGUUAGGCGCAAAUAUAAAAGAGCAGGGCUGUUUAGUAAUUUUAGGGGCAAGGGCAAUUUAGUAACUUUAUUAUUAAUUAGGGUUUAGCUAUAAAUAAGAGAUUAUGGAGUCAUUUAGGGUUUAUGUUGAGUAUUGUCUGGUAUUAGGAACCAUUAGGAGUUUUGGGAGAGAUUGACCUACCUCUCGAAUUGUAGGUCAGGAUUGAUUGUUUGUUUUCUUUUGAUUUAAUCAAUAAAAGUCAGCCUUAAUUUAGCCCUAAGUCCUAUCAAAGUGGUAUCAGAGCAAGAAUCCUGAGACAAUGGCAGCGAAGAAGGUGGACGCGCUUGAAGAAAAAUUGGAAGCAGAGGUCAGAUCACUCAAGGCUACGAUUGAUGAGCGAUUCAACACCGUUCAACAACAAUUUUCAUCUCUUGAAGCCAUGUUGUUGAAAUUGACGGAACUCCACCUCAACCCUCCUCCGGCAGCAUCGAGGGGCCAUGGCGGUGUGGCAGGAGAAGGAUCCGGGGUUACGGAACCCGUGGUAGGCGACGGCGCAGAAAUCAGAGUGACCGGGCUAGGCAACUCGGGGGUGUUUGGGGGUGAGGCACAACCUGGACAUGCUGAAUUUGGGCCCGAGCAGGGAGGAUUUGGGUCUAAACAGGUUGGAUUUGGGGGCGGUAGACCAGGAGGAGGGAUUUCUGGUGAGAAAAGGAGCGGUUAUGGCCGUAAUACGGUUGGGCAAGGGAAUCCAGCCCACUAUGGUGCUGGGCAAGGAGAAUUUUGGGCUGGAUCUUCAGGAUUUGCAGACACUGGAGUAGAUUGGGGAGGUUGGAGACCUCCGAUGGCACGAAAUUGGGCGGGUCAGACUCAAUUUGGAGUAGAUUCUAGGAUAAGGAAACUGAAAAUGCCUAUUUUUGAAGGCGAGGAUGCCUAUGGAUGGGUGUAUAGGGCAGAGCGCUAUUUCGCCAUUAAUGGACUCUCAGAAAGGGAAAAAUUGAUGGCGGCGGCGUUAUGCUUGGAGGGAAAGGCCCUUGCAUGGUUUCAAUGGCGAGAACAACGACAACCAAUGAGGUCGUGGGGUGAAUUUAAGGAUCGGCUGUUGGAGAGGUUUCAGGCCACUCAAGAGGGAGAUUUGCAUGAACAGUUUUUUGCUCUGACCCAGGAGAGAACGGUUAUGGAGUAUAGGGAGAAGUUUGAGUUGCUAUCAGGGUGUCUAGGGGGGCUUCCAGAGGCGGUGUUGGAAGGGAAUUUUAUGAAGGGACUGAAGCUAGAAAUCCGAGCCUCGCUACGCUUGCUAAGGCCGAGAGGGUUAGGGGAGUCAAUGGAGUUGGCACAAAUGAUUGAGGAUAAGAACACAAUAGAACAGAUUAAUAGGAGCAGGUCAGUCGAUUUUUCAUAUCAAAAUAGCACACCAUUGGUAGGACAGAAAACCCAGACUUUGGGGUUUCAGCGAGAGUUCCAAAAUACACCAUCGGGAGGCCAGAAAAUGCAAAUGAUGGGUUUACAGAGAGAUUCCCAAACGGAUCGGGUUAGUGGGGCACGACUAGGGGUGACUUUCAAACGCCUCACAGAGACAGAGAUUCAGGAUAAAAGGGUGAAGGGGGUGUGUUUUCGAUGCGAUGAGAAAUUUUCACCAAGGCAUCGAUGUAAGGAUAAAUCACUACAAGUCCUGACUGUGUGUGACGAGGAAGAAGGCGAGGAAGAAGAGGCAGCAGUUUCCUAGAUUUCACCUUGAGGACAAGGUGUCUUUUUGGGAGGGGAGUAAUGUUAGACCCAUGAAAACUUAUGUUAGGCGCAAAUAUAAAAGAGCAGGGGCAGUUUAGUAAUUUUAGGGGCAGGGGCAAUUUAGUAACUUUAUUAUUAAUUAGGGUUUAGCUAUAAAUAAGAGAUUAUGGAGUCAUUUAGGGUUUAUGUUGAGUAUUGUCUGGUAUUAGGAACCAUUAGGAGUUUUGGGAGAGAUUGACCUACCUCUCGAAUUGUAGGUCAGGAUUGAUUGUUUGUUUUCUUUUGAUUUAAUCAAUAAAAGUCAGCCUUAAUUUAGCCCUAAGUCCUAUCAUAAGCCUCUCACCUAGUGUAGGUAAAUUUUUUGUCAUUCUGGAGUUGAAUAAACUUAUUUGAAAGUGUCUAAUGAUUAGUCCCCCUCUAUUUUUCUGGUUUAGAAGUAGCUAAGUUGAAGCUUUUUGAAUUCUUCUCUGGUACCCUAUAUGUUCUCUGGGUUUGCUUCACAGAAAUCUUUCAUGAAUACCAAUCGACCAUUCAUUGAUUUGUAGGUUUUGUUCUAAGAACUUGGACUUGAUUGGUAUUUGUUGUGUCUAGACUUCACAGGAUUAUGCUUGUCUCACUUGAGUAGGAGUAACAUUAGAUCUAAAUAUACGUGGAUGCUUGCUUAAUUAUGCAGAUUACAGAAUACUGGCAAUGAUGCCUUGUAAAUGUAAAUCCCGUUUCCCCUGUUUCAUUGCUGUAUUUUGGUCAAUUUCUUUGUUUGAUUCAUUGGUCCAUAUUGAUCUUUGCCGCCAUAGAUUCAUUCCAAAGCCAGAUUUCCUAGGAUAGAUUAAACAACGGUAAGGACCAAUGAUACUGGUUUUGGGAUCAAUUCUCACCAAUGAUCCAUAAAACUGUAAAAAGUAAUGUAAUUGUUUUAUAAUUUUCAAAAUUUUUCACCACUUCUGAUUUUCUUUUUGGUUUCAUACGUUGCAUGACUUGUGCAGUUGUGCUGCAGUCUGAUUGUUGCUUUUUGGCACUGAAAUCAGCCAUUACAUCCCCAGAUUCAUAAUAAUAACUUGAUCUGAUCAGUGUCAGUUCACAGCCAGUGACUUGAGUUCCAACUAAUGAUAAUAAAAUUAACCAAGGCAUGGAAAGAAUUGGAACAUUUAUUUUAUUCAUAAAGAGUGCUAUUCUAUUCACAAAAUCAGAAAUUUUAAGAUUUGAUUUCCCUUUCUCACCUUUCAUAGGACAAAUGCUUGCGUCUAUUUUGUAGCUAUCAACCCAGGCUUUGUACUUCUAUUGCCUGGCAUAUUGCCGGGCGCGCUAUUGGCUUGAAUAGGGUAUGAUGCCCUUAUCUAAAGUUGGGCCUAUACCUCCACUUACUGUUUCUUCAGUAUAAUUUUCAUUAUUAACACAGUUGAAUUGCAAGUUCAGGUUCAUGGAGCCAUUGACCUCGAGAGUUCCAAUGAUGGUCAUUGAAGGCAAUCAUGAAAUUGAACCUCAAGUUGCUGGGAUCACUUUCAAAUCUUAUUUGACCAGAUUUGCUGUUCCGUCAGAGGAGAGUGGCUCUAACAGUAACUUCUACUACUCUUUUAAUGCUGGAGGAGUACAUUUUAUUAUGCUGGGAGCAUAUGUUGAUUACAAUAGCACUGGUAACUAAACCGAUUUAUACAUUAUUGUUAGCAACGCCCACAUGUUUAAUUUUUCAGAUUAUUAUGCAAUGCCUGGAUCCAUAUCCCAAUUCUAAUACUGGAUUCUUCUCAGCAAGUAAUUGUCUUUAUUUUAAUUUUUAAUUCUAGGAGCUCAGUACGCUUGGCUAAAGGAAGAUCUACAUAAAUUAGACCGCACUGUGACCCCUUGGUUGGUAGCUGCAUGGCAUCCGCCUUGGUAUAAUAGCUAUUCUUCUCACUACCAAGAAUUUGAAUGCAUGAGGCAAGAAAUGGAAGCACUUCUGUAUCAAUAUGGUGUCGAUAUUGUUUUUUCUGGUCACGUAAGUUAAAACAUUUUUUUUAUUUUUUUUAUUUUUUUGAAGCAUACAAAUGAAUGUCUUUAAACUUUUUAGUCUUGUGUCACCUCAAGGUAAAGCAUUGCUACUCAUAAUAAAUUGAAAAACUUUGCUACGCAUUCAUCACAAGAGAAAAAUGGGUCCAAAAUGGGCGCCUUGAUAAAAGUGCUAGGUUAUAUUGCGUCCUCUUUCGUUGAUUCCACUUCUUGAGUAUAAACUACUAAAACUUGUACAUUCCCAAGAAAUAUUCUUGUUUUCUAUUAAUUAAUACAUAUGAAUCCAUCUUUGUAGGUUCACGCUUAUGAGAGGAUGAAUAGAGUUUAUAAUUACACAUUGGAUGCAUGCGGGCCUGUUUACAUAACAGUUGGAGAUGGUGGAAAUAUUGAGCAAGUUGAUGUCGAUCAUGCAGAUGACCCUGGAAAGUGUCCCUCAGCCGGGGACAACUUACCAGAAUUCGGUGGGGUAUGUCAUCUGAACUUUACUUUUGGUCCUGCAAAAGGCAAGUUUUGCUGGAGCAAGCAACCAGAGUGGAGUGCAUAUAGAGAAAGCAGCUUUGGUCAUGGAAUACUUGAGGUAUGGUCAUGGACUCCUACCAGUUCUGUUAUUCGUAUUUUCAAUUAGCCACUAGGUUGGAAAAAUCCUUGGUUUCCUUUCAGAUUUAGGCAACAAUGAACCUUAAUAUCGAUCAUUACUAGUUUGUCAAAGGAUACCGAGGUAGCAUAUAUCCCAAUUUAUAAUUAUGCGAUUACUUAACAUUUCUGUAUAUCAGUAUAUGUUUCAGCAUGAUGGCUUAUAAUAUGACAUGAUCUUUCUGCUUUUACAAUAUGAUCAUCUCAGUGUCUUCUUUAUGACUACUUAUCAUAUGUUUGCUACAGGUUGUGAAUUCAACAUAUGCAUUAUGGACUUGGCACCGAAAUCAGGAUAAUUACAAGGAAGAUAGCCAUGGCGAUCAUAUAUAUAUUGUGCGACAAGCAGAAUUAUGUUUCGACACUCCAGCUGCCAAAGUAAUUUUCUAAUCUUGCAUCUAGUCCGACUAAGUCACAGUAGUUAUGAACUCAACUCAUGAUCAUUGCAACAUUAUUGGUUCAUUGCCAGUGUAGCUAAUCUUGGUUCGUCUUUUUCAUGAUGGGGAAACAACCAUACCCAGCAAAGAGGGCAGCAAACAAAUGAAACCGCAGCCAUAUCUGCUAAAUGGAUGCAGGCGUUUUCACUAUUCAUCAUGGCUAUCAUUGUUACUGGAUCUUUAUAACAAGUUUCUAGGGAUCAAAUUGAACAUUAAGCAUCACUUUUUAACACAUCUUUGUAGUUUAGCAAAUGUUUGAUAACAGAGACAAUGUAUGUGAAUGACAAGACUUGGUUGUUUCUGAAAGGAGUGUCAAUCCCAGGUCAGCCAAGCAGCAUUGGCAUUUGGCAUCUUUCUCGCGUGAAAUAAGCCAAAAUAAAUGAGUUAAAAAUAUAAAUUAAAAUAUUGCACGUGACAAUGACUCUAGGCUGUUCCGUUUGUAAUUUGUUUUAAGCUUGAACUAAUCCAUCACGCGAAGUAAUCUGGGAUUAUGGGUUGCAUCACUGCUUACGCAGAGGUUCUAUUACUGUGUAAUCAUCACUACUCACAAGCAUUUUAUAAUUCAUUUUCAAAAGUUUUUAAGAAGAAAAAUUUGAUUUCAAGGACACCUCAAAGCUAUAUUCUACAACUUAUUGUUUAAAUAUUUUAUCUACAAAAUACUAAUUACAUAAGUUCCACGACAAUGCAAUUUCAUUAUCACAGAUUUAUAAUUUUUUUUUUUAACAUAUUUCAUUAGAUAAAAGUUGAUUUGUGGGCCAAGACUACGGUAUCACAAAUCGAUUCACCCUACCCAUUAAUUCAAUUGUUUAAAAUUGUGAGUAUAAGAUUAUGGUAUAGGCAGUGAAUUUGUAUUUCGUAAUUCGUAUAUUAUUAAUUUAAAUAUAAGUAUGGCACAGUUCUUAAUUAUCAUAGACACUUCACGAAUGAAGUGGCCAUUAUACUCCUAAAGGAAAAAGAUUUUUUUUUUUUUUAGAAGAGAUGAAAACGAAUCUUAAUAUAAAAAAAGAAGUAAAAUUUAAUUUUUCAAAAGCUGAGGCAAACUUAUUCUAUUAUAAUUUGAAUUCAGUUCUAAGUUUAAUUAUUUAUAAUCUUCUUUUAUACAUACAUUUGUAAAAAUAUAUAAUUAAGAUUUAAUUACAUAUCAUUUUUCAUUUAAUAACUAUUGAUCAUAACAUUACAAAAAAAAUCUUGACUCUAACACCAGCUCUAGUCCUUUUUCUCCGGCAACUAUAUUUGAUUUGUUUGAUACUCUAAUUCAUUGAGAGCACUUGAAGUUGUUCACAGGUUUUAAAAAUAAAAUAAAAUAGAGGAUUAAAUUUAAAUUAUUCUCUUAUAUUUAUAAAUUAUUUUUUAUUUUUAAGACUUCAACUUAUCUAAUUUUUAUGAAAAAUAAAAUAAAUUUAUCAAUUUACUUAAGUAAUUAAAAAUAAUCAAUUUACUAAGAUAAUUCAAAAUUUACAAAAAUAUAAAAAUAAAAAAUGACGACGACAAUAGUACACGCGUGCCAUAUUUAAGACCAAACACAAUAACACAUUUCCUUUAAAAUCACAUUCCCUAUCACUCUCUCAGUCACAGUUUCCAGAUUUUCUCGUACACUUCCCCAACAGGCCAAAAAAACAGACAACAAAAAGGUUAAAAAAGGAAAUUACAAAAUGCAAUACAAGCACCUGGGGAGAUCGGGGCUGAGAGUGAGCCAGCUCGCGUACGGAGCGUGGGUCAGCUUCGGGAACCAGCUGGACGUGAAGGAGGCGAAGUCGCUCUUGCAAUGCUGCCGCGACCACGGCGUCAACUUCUUCGACAAUGCCGAGGUCUACGCCAACGGCCGCGCGGAAGAGAUCAUGGGCCAGGCCAUUCGCGAGCUCGGGUGGAAGCGAUCCGACAUCGUUGUUUCCACCAAGAUCUUUUGGGGCGGCCAGGGCCCCAACGAUAAAGGCCUCUCCAGAAAACACAUUGUCGAGGGCACCAAAGCUUCCUUGAAACGCCUCGACAUGGAUUACGUCGACGUUAUUUAUUGUCACAGGUAAAUUUAAUUUAUUUUUUUUCCUACGAAAACCAAAAAAAAAAAGAGAAAAAUUUGAAGAAUUUUGAGAUGAUUUGAUAAUUUUUGUUAAUUAUUAGGCCGGACACGUCGACACCGAUAGAGGAGACGGUGAGGGCGAUGAAUUAUGUGAUUGAUAAGGGGUGGGCGUUUUACUGGGGAACAAGUGAGUGGUCGGCGCAGCAGAUCACCGAGGCUUGGGGGAUUGCUGAGCGCUUGGAUUUGGUGGGCCCCAUUGUUGAGCAACCAGAGUAUAACAUGUUGUCUAGGCACAAGGUUUCGUAUUAGUUCUUUAUCAUUGUUGUUGUGUUUUUGUAGAUUUUGAGGUUGUUGUUGUUGUGUUUUCCUUGUUACAAAUUUGAUACUGAUGUAGACCCGUAGAAAUUGGAUGGUGAAAACGUGAAAAAGGGAGAAAUAUACGUUGAAGUGGGAAGGGUAAUGGGCAAUGACUUUAUUACAUGCUAAAUUCAUAAUUUGCAAACAUGCUUUAUGUAGAGGUAUUUGAUAACAACCUGAUACCUGUUUAUGGUUGGACCGGCGAAAAUAUCCCAAAUAAUCUGAAUAAUCAAACCAUACACACAUUUACUAUUGUCGUUUGAGUCAAACUUUUUGCAAAGUCCUUUAACCCUGUUGGGAUUUGGGGACCUAUUUCGCACACUUUCCUAGUAAAAUAAAAAAGGUAAUUUGUUUGCCCACUUUCUUAAGAUGGUUGUCCUUACGACUAGCCAAAUAGGUUAUAACUAAACUCUGUUGUGCGUUUAUGUACCCUUUUAAUCUGCUUUCCAUUUUCUGAAGGAAAUCUUGGAAUAUUGAAAGGCUUUGCGUCCUCCAGUGGUUCCUUGAUCUGCUCUGCAUGCUUUGAGCUUGCAGUGCUUGUAUAAACCUGUUAAACAGCUUUUCAAUUGUAGCUUAAAAGGGAUGAAUUUAUUUUGUGCCUUUUGUUAUGAUCUUAUUGAUUGUUGUAUGGAUGCAGGUUGAAGCUGAGUACCUCCCUCUAUACUCCAAUUAUGGCAUAGGUCUUACCACAUGGAGUCCACUUGCAUCUGGAGUCCUCACUGGAAAAUAUAACAAGGGAUCUAUACCACCUGACAGUCGGUUUGCUUUGGAAAAUUACAAGGUAGGUUAAUUUGUUAUAAGACACCUCUGAUUAUAUUUUGCAUUGUUAUUUAUGUCCUUAUUGACAUUGAUUACUAACUAGUUUAUUAAAAAUUUUGACUUCUUUUUGCUAUUACCAAUAUGUCGUCUAUCUUUAUUGUUAACAACUUGUUAUUAGUUGUAGCUUUGUUAUUUCAGUUCCUUUCUGUAGUUUGUCGCUUCAACCUCUAGGAUUCUAGCACCACUAUGUAAGCAUGGCUAUAUCUUUGCUUAAUAAAAAUGUCUGCCCAAAAACCUGUAUUAAUAUGGAAAAAGGUUCCUGAUCAUCAAGUGAUGUUACCUCUAUGCAUGUGCUAUCGUAUUCUUUUUCUGAAAUAUACGAACUGAUUAAAAUAUUUAAUAUGUGGUUUGUAGGUUAUGUAUUUAGUAUGGAAUGAAUUAGGUGCUUUUGUUGGGCAUUAUAUGACUGUCACCUCAGAUUUGUCCUCGGUAUAUUAUUUUGAGUAUCUGGAUGAUUUGAACUUGCGAUAAUUACAAUGUAUAAAUCUAUGGAACUCCUUCAAGUUCUUUUUAGGUGUUUACUUACUCAUCAAGAAGUAUGUCUUCAUCAGACUCACUUGUGCUUAUUGCCUAGUUGCAUAUCUUUGGUGAAUCAUAUGCCUUUUAGGCAUCUAAUUAGCAUAAUUUUAUAAUCUCUUCUGUAUUUUCUCUCAUUUUGAGAUCAACACUGAUCCUCGUUUUAUUUUCGAUCCCUUGUAGAAUCUUGCUAACCGAUCACUGGUCGAUGAUGUGCUGAAUAAAGUUAAUCGACUGAAGCCAAUUGCAGAUGAACUAGGCGUGCCUUUAGCUCAACUUGCAAUUGCAUGGUGUGCUUCAAAUCCUAAUGUAUCUUCAGUUAUAACUGGUGCCACAAAGGAAUCCCAGGUUUGUUUGAAACUUAUUCCUAAUUUGGAAAAUGUUUGCCUGAACAGGAGUCCAUCUUAUUUUUGAACGGAUAUGCUGUUAAGGGCCUUUUGACCGAACAAAGAAGACGAUCUCAUUUUCUAAUGGAGCCAAAUUAUAAAACCAAAUUAAUGUUUUCUCUUCGUUGGAAUUCUGAAUGGUUGUAGUAGAACAAUAGGUUUUUGAUUCCAUUGAGAAAAUGGAAGCGCCAGAUAAGGUUCAGAAGCUGCUCAGUUGGGCAGACCUUUUUCAAUUUAUAAAUGUAUUAAAUUAUGAACAAUCUGUAGAUCUCAUGGCAUGCAAUAAAUAGAUUUAGUCUGGAUCACUGCCCCUAUAUCAUGCAUAACCCGUAGCCUAUUUAUAACUAUUUUUGGAAAGUUUCGUUGAAAAGAUUUCACUGUGUAAAAUUAUGAACAGUGAUAUAGGGUUCAGAAGCUGCUCAGUUGGGCAGACCUUUUACGAUUUAUAAAUGUGUAAAAUUAUGAACAAUCUGUAGAUCUCAUGGCAUGCAAUAAAUAGAUUUAGUCUGGAUCACUGCCCCUAUAUCAUGCUUAACCCGUAGCCUAUUUAUAACUAUUUUUGGAAAGUUUCGUUGAAAAGAUUUCACUGUACUCUGCUUCAUUUCUGAAACAUUUCAUUCCACUGUGCAGAUUCAAGAGAACAUGAAAGCCAUUGAUGUCAUUCCACUGCUGACUCCGUCAGUGAUGGACAAGAUUGAGGCUGCUGUUCUAAGCAAGCCAAAGCGUCCGGAGUCGUAUCGGUAGGCGGAGAUGAUUUAUUAGCUCAUUUCCAUCUUCUGCUGCGUGCGACAUACCUAGCUGCUUCAGUGUAUUCAUGUUGUUACUAUGCUUGUCUGAUGUUUUAGUUAUUGUUUCUUAGCUCUGUACUUCAGAGACUCUCAGAUAUGAUAUAUUUUCUUGUAAAAGAAAAUGAUUAUUGUUCUUGGUAUUGGAUUAGUGAAGGUGGUGAAUUUCUUAUGGGCAAUCAUUGUGGUUUUGUGGAUUUAAAUUGCUUUGGAGUGAGAUUUUUUUUCAUGCAAUUAUGGGAUGUUUUACAAGCUUGGAUCUUAUUUGGUAGAUAAUGAAGGUUUUCAAGUUCUCCCUUGGGAUCCCUUCAGUGACUAUGCUUUGUCAAUUGGUCUCAGCUGAUGUAUGCAUGUCUUACUUAUUUUAUUAUUUUCAUCGCAAAAGAAAAGGAAAAUGAAAAAAGUAAUUGAAGAUCGAAAUGUAGUUUUUUCAUAUAAUUGCAUAAACAAUGCACAUUUGGCUUAUGCUAUAUACCAAUGCUAAGAUGGAACUGGUAUCUUAUCUGGGUUUUCCGUACUAAAGUGAUUGAGUCAUCUUAUGUCGGGAUUAUGAGCCCUCUGUGGCCUGGACUUGCAAAACUUCUGCAAAUAUGGUUUUUGGCAGCUAUUUAGAAACAAGCAUCGUCACCAGCCGAAUAUGCUAGCUCUGGUUGAAACUUUCUUGGUUGAAUUUAAAGACUCGUAUCUCAUAGAAUUACUAUUGUGUGACGUGCAUUGUUGAGCGAGUGAUGUAGCGAUACUUUUUGAGUGAGUGUACGUCAGUUGUCUCUUGCCAGGCGAACCUAGGCACUGUCUGUUUGUGGUGAGAGUUCCACUAGGACUUGCAUCAUUAUGAAAUUUCUUAUUCAAAGUCUCAACAGCACCCUCUUUCUUUGAGUUACUAGUUAUAGGUAAACGUGUGGGGUUUGCUCUGGAGCAUUUCAACAGCCUGCAAAAAACAGCCACUGACAACCCGAACAAUACUUGUCUCAAUGACCACAGUCACUAUACUUCUUUAGAUACUCUGUGUUUAUUGAAAAUAAGAAAGAACAGCAAACAGAGCCUGCAGCAAAGUCAGAAGAAGCAGGACAGCAGCAGCAAGGAAGGAGAUGAUUGCCCAUGGAGUGUUGAAAUAAUUGUGUCUCAGCUUUGCCUUCCAUUUAUUAACACGCCUACUGCAAUGCAAGUUCACUUUGUUGAAUACUUCAGAGUAAUAGAACUGGUCACUGAGUACAACAGCAUCACCAAGCCUGCUUAUUAGGCCUGCAAUCACUUCAUCAUCUCCUAACCAGUUAUCAAUAAUUCCACAGCGACGUAGUAAUUCAGCAUCUUUAGAAGAGUUGAUGAGGCAAUCUAGGAAUUUGACAUAAUCCAAUAUAUGCUUUGGAUUUUGGUCAUGGGAAAACUGCUCGUAUGCAAUGAGAUUCCGAAGGACAGCUUCUGUUGUGUCUCCGAUUGCCAAGGUGGGGAUCUUCAUCACGCCAUUUUCAAAUUUUAUAUCAAACAACAAACCAUCCUCAACCUUCUGAAACUUGACACCAGCUUCUUGUAUCUCUGUGGCACAACAAAUGAACCUCCAUUCGCUAUUUUUCGAAGCAUUAAUCUUGAAUGCGUCUAUUCCCGUAGGUGAAGGAAGCCAAUUAUUGUGUAUGAAACCGACCAGAUGUUUGAUCUCUUCUAUGGGAUAUACAUCAACUCUUGGAUAGCCUUUCCCUGGAAGUAUCCCAUAAAAGAAAUACAGAAUCAUGUAAAAGAAGCUGUAAUUUGUUUGAUUAUUAUUAGUCACCUCAGUCAUGCUAAACAGUUCCCAAAGAACAAAAAACGGAAGCUGAUUCUCAACAAGAAACAUAUCCCGCGCUAUGAAAGGCAGCAUCCAACCCAGCUUAAAGAUAGGAUCAUUAUCUUCUCUCGAUUCCUGCCUCAAAUUCUUGCGAAUAAUCUCAACAAUGAAGCAACCAUCAAGAAGCAUCAUUUCUACAAACUCUUCUUUGUCCAAGCUUAUGGAUCCUCCAUAACAUUUUCGAGCCUUUUCUUCCAAUGCCCUCAGAGUCGUUACAUAAUCUAACAAACUUCUGUUUAAACUUCUACGAUGAAGAAGGUUUUGAAGAUAGCGAGUUUUGUGCUCUUCAAAGGCCAUCAAGUGAUCUUUACCGUGAUGGUAAGGGCCGAUAGCUAGCAUUUCUGGUUCAUAAGCUGUUGCAUUUAUCUUACGUAGUUGAUUAGGCACUCUGAAAAUGCUGAACUGAGAUGGUGUAGGAGGUAGACUACGAAGACUUUCCCCAACACGAUCAAGUACCAGGUCAGCUGGAGCAGCAGCCAUCAUUUCCUCUUUAGAAAUUAUACAGGUCCCCCUGCUGAUGCCAACAAGUUAUGUACAGGGUGGUCAGAUUGCCAUUUCUCAAAGCUUAUUUAGCAUUGAACAUGAUUGUAAAUUUUUGGAGAGCUAAGUGCAUUACAAAACUCAUGCAGCAUCCACAGACCUGUUGAUCUAGGAUCUUGAUUUUCAAUAUGGCUUAGUCUUUAAUUCGGCAUAAAAUUGAACAAAAGACUAUGCAAAAUUCCCGGGGCAGAUCAAUGAGAUAUCAAAUGAAAGGUCGAUUUAUGAUUGAUGUUUAAUCGAACUUACUUGAUUGAAUGCAACCUUUGCUGGCCCAACAAGUUCUUGAUUUUCUAUGCAGAUUGAUGAAUAGCAUGUUGACUAAUGAUACACAAGAAGACCUCGUCUUUAUAGUAUACAAGUUUUAGAUUUAAAUGAAUGAUGUACUGAUCGUGGAAAUUUCCUCGAAAAUGUUUCUACCACUGCAAACUCUUUUCUAUUAUUAAAAGAAUGAAUUUUUUAUAUUAGUUUCACAAGUAUUGCUCUUAGUGCCUGUUUGGUAUAGCUUAUUUAAGAGCCAUAAGUGCUUAUUUAAUCGUAUAAGCACUUUUUAAAAAUUUUUAUGGUGUUUGGUUAUUUUUUUAGUAGAGUUUUUUUAGCUUAAAUAAGCUAAUUUACCUCUACUAGCAAAAGCCCAAAAUUUGAGCUUUUGGGAGUAGAGGUUAGAGAGCUUUUCUAAAAAUAUAUAAUAAAAAAAAUCACACAGUUUAAUGGUUCAAAAGUACUUUUUUUAUUGACAACCAAACACCCAAUGACUUUUUGUCCAAAAACUCUAUUGGUAUAAGCUCUACUACUAUAAGCUCUACUGUUAUAAGCUCUAUUUAAUAAGUUGUACCAAACGGAGCCUUAUUAUAUCCUAGAGUCAACUUUUAUGCCCAAUCACGCAUUUCGUGUCAAUUAAGAAUUAUUCUGAGCUAGCAAGCAACUCGAGUUGAUGAGAAUUUUGGCAAUCACUUGAUCAUCACACACGCAUUUAUUCACAUCGUAGAAUAUAUGGGAUUAGUAGAAACUAAUGUUAUGUUUACUUAUCAAAUUAGGGUGCGAAUCCUUAAAUUAUGGAUGUGGAAUAAGAGCGAGAGUAUGAUAAGAAUGUGGAUUGCCAAUCGGAGUUUCAAUUAUGCAUUUAUUUUGUCUUAGUUUGGAAUUGAAUUAUUACAAAUGAUAGUUUUACCCUUAUGUGAAGAAUAUGUAGUUUUUAAUUAGAAAAUAAAUAAGAAAAUAUAUUUGUACAAUAAUCUAUUUAAUUUAUUAUUAAUUUUAGUUAUAUAAAAUAAUAAUAAAUUUUUUAUUUAUUUUUUAUUUAAACCAAAAGUUUUUGGCCUAUUUAUAUGACGAGAUUGUAUUUUUGAGAUUUGUUAAGAGUAUUUUUAGAAUUAGAAGGAGUUGAAAUGAGACUCCCGCUAAUUCCACUCCCCACUAAAAAAAUGAGUGGAGCCCAUGGAACAAGACUUUCACUCUAGGGAUGACAAUUACAUUUGGAUCCAUAUUUUUUAAUAUGCAUUGGGAAAUUUAGGAUCCGCACGGAUCCAGAUCCGAAUCCUGAUGCAAGUGCAUCCGGAAAACCGGAUAUCCGGAUACGGAUAAAUUUUAUUUUAAAUUAAAAACAUAUAUUAAAAAUUACAUAAAAAAUAAAAAAAUAAAUUUUAUUUGUGGAUUUAUGAUGUUGUUGUAUAUUAUUCAUGUUGAAUUAUUAAUUAUUGGAUUAUCAUUGAAUUUUAUUUGAUAUUAUUUGGUUAAUUAUUGAAUUUUAUUUUAAAUUAAAAUUAAAAUUAAAAAAAUAUAUUAAAAAUUAAAAUUUAAUUUUUAUUUGUGGAUUUAUGAUUUUGUUGCAUCUUAUUCAUGUUGAAUUAUUACUUGUUGGAUUAUGAUUGAAUUUUAUUUGAUAUUAUUAGGUAAAUUAUUGAAUUUUAUUUUAAAUUAAAAAUAUAUAUUAGAAAUGAAAUAAAAAAUAAAAAAAUUAAAUUUUAUUUGUAGAUUUAUGAGAUUAUUGUAUGUUAUUCAUGUUGAGUUAUUAAUUGUUGAAUUAUGAUUGUAUUUUUUUAUAUUAUUAGGUAAAUUAUUGAAUUAUUGAAUUUUUAAAUUGUUUAUUAAAUUAUUAAAUUAUAAUUUUGCAGAUAUGGAUAUCCAGAAUAUCCGUCCGCAUCCGUUGCGAAUAUUACCUGCAUCCGAAUUUAGAAACCUUCAUCUGGAUCCGGAUUUUGCCAACCCUAUUUCACUCUACCCAUUACAAAUUGAAGUAAACAAUUGAUUAUGAGGAUUCCCCGCUUCAAAAUCCGAAUCCAAAAUGUACACACAGAACAGUGGCAUUGAAAAAUGUUGGCAAUCACUUGAUCAUCACAAAGCCUUCAUAAGCAAAUUAAGCAUCUAUCUCUCUAGCUACCAGAAGAAAAUAUAUUAUAUGAACAUAAUUUAUAAAAACCAGCUACUGCUUAUCGUUUCAGACACGCUCAACCACUGUCGUUGCUAACUUUUACAAAAACAUAUAUAAAUUGAAAAAUUAAAGAAGAAAUUUAAGAAUUUUGCAACCAUUGACAGGUGUUGAAAUAAUUGUGCCUCAACUUAGGUACCUCAAUCUUCUGGAACUUGAUUCCAGCCUCUUUGAUCUCUGUGGCAGAACAAAUGAAGCUCCAGUCACUAUUAUUUGUACCAGUCUUCCUAUCUUUUGCCAUCUUUCCGAAGAUCUGCCAUUCAUCGACACAGGUACUAUUAAAUUAAAAUGUUCAAACUGAUUUGAUGCGAAAAAAGUAAAUAAAUAAGAAACUUUCAUGCAGAUUAUGGUAAGCCUCCCCCACCUUCUCAUCAAUCAAGUGAUUUCUUUAAUUUGGGUAUAACCAUAAUUUUUCACAUUCAGUAACUUAAAUCUCUGAAUCACUAUGCACGGGAUUUUUAAGGCUGUCUUGCUCAUUUUCAUUAAUUCAAGAGAAUAGGAUACAGGUUUUAGAUAAGUUUGAUGUUGAAAGAAUUAUUGAGCUCAGGGUUUCACUUCAUAUAUCUUUAUCUCAUUUCUUAGGGUGGACUGCUGAUUAAUUUCAAAUAAACAUAAAGAAUAAAUAAUAGACCAAGACACAUACGCAAAUAAACAUUAACCAUUCUCAAUUAAAAUCAUAUCUCGAUUAAUAGAUAUUAUAAAAAUUGACAAUAGACAGUGAUACUCUAAUUUAUUUAUGGGAUAUCAAAACCAGAAUUUGAUCAUAUUUUAGUCCCAUGACCGGCAGAGUUCAAGGGCAGAGUAUUGUGAUGAUCCAUAAGUAAUGGUCAUAAUUUAUUAUAUUAGGAUUCUUUUCCUUCUACCACUCAAUAAUUUAAAGUUGUUUUUUUUGGAACAAUAUACAGAUUAUUGUAUAUUGUUUAAUUAUAGUUGCAUUUAUCCUAUAUUGUUAAUUAUAGUUACAUGCUUCCUUAAAUAAUAUUAUCUGGGUGAAAUUUAAUAUUAUUUAGCACAUGCAAUUAUCAAAUAAUUUAUAUUUUGAUUCAUAAUCUAUAGAUGCCAUGUAUUGUGAUGUACAGAGUAGCACUACAUAUUCUAUAUGAUAUGUUGUCAUAACAUGUUAUUAUCUAGCAUGUUAUUAUCUAAACAUAGCAUAUAAAUUAAAGCAAUUGAACAAUCUCAAUUCAUGGUUACUCUAAGGAAAUUUGAACUUAAUCUUUAAGCCUAUUAUCUAUUGGGCUUCAAGUCAAUGUCCACCUUCCUUCUUUCUCUUCCUUGUUCUUCUUUUUGUCCAUUGGCUUGGCAUUUUUAGGCUAUUAAAUAUAACAUUGAUUCAAUUUUUAAAAUUAAAUUUAGUCACUUUUUAAAUAAAAUUUCUAUUAGAUCUUAUUUCUGAAAUAAAAUUUUUAAAACCAGACCCAAUUAAUUUGAUAAAAUAAGCACACGUUUAUCUUUAAAAAUUAUUGAUCCAAAUAGAUUUUAUCAUUGAUAUUACUAAAUUUCCAUUUAUAUGACUCAAUUUCGAAAUCCUAAAAUGGGGUUGGGACCAAUAUAAAUAAAUUUGGACAAGUAUUUACUAUUGAGCUUAUCAAAUUUCUAUUUUUCAAGUGCCUACGCUUAUUUUUAGGAAAUUAAAUUAAAUUAAUCGAUAAAAAAUUUAUUUUCAGCCGUCAGAGGGGUCGCAUCUUUCUUGACAAUGUACUGAUCCCAUCGGUUUUUGAUUACUUGGAGUUGUGAAUUUGAAGAAUAAAAGUCUUAUGUAAUUAAUCUUUAUUUGGUUUAUUUGAUCUCAUGGCUUGCUUCAUUGUUUCAUCUAAAUUAUUUGGAAUCUACAAAUUAUCUCAAUCAAUAGAUAUGACAUAAUUAAUUCAAUGAAUUAUUAGUUAUUCUCAAUUAAAAUCAUAUCUUGUGCUAUAUAUGAUAGGGUAUCAUCCAACCUAGCUUAAAAAUGGGGUCAUCAUCUCCCCUCAAACAUGGCAACCCAAACUUUCGAAUAACCUCUACAAUGAAACAACCAUCGAAAAGCAUCAUUUGCACACACUCAUCUUUGACUAAAUUUAUGGGUCCUCCAUAACAAUUUCGAGCUCUUUCUUCCAGUGCCCAUAUGCCCCUGAUAUAGUCUAGGUAAGAUAUACAUGGUCAUUUUAUAGGCGUUUGAAGAUAGCUGAUUUUGUGCUCUUUAAAGGCCGAUAAGUGAUCUUUUCUGUGUUGGUGAGGACCAAUUGCUACUCAUCCUGAUGCAUUCUAUCGUUCGUCUUUUAUUUUCUCUUCAUAUGAAUCGUCUGAAGUCGGAGGGUAGAGUAGCUUUGGUAUUUUUAAUAGAGCUAAUUGUUUCCUUAGCAUCGUUGGUCUUCCUUUAUUGCUAAAAUUAUUAUCUGAUCAACAUUAUUAGCACUCUUAGCUUCCUGUUACUUCUUUGGCUAAGUCUACACUCUUUUAACUUUUGUUAUACAUCAAUCAAUGUGUCUUCCAAUGCUCCCAUCCAAACUUUCGUUGCCUCAAUUGAGUUUUGCAUUGACUAUAAAGCUUUCAUUUUCUCUCAACGCCUUUUCAACACGAUCUUGUGAUUGUUGGACCUGCUCUGGGCUCUUUGUUAUUCGAUUUUCAAAUUGAGUACUACCUUCUCUAGAAACCAUCUUUUUGUUUUUAUUUAUUUUUUUGAGUUUUUGAUAAGAACAAAAAAUUAAAGAACAAAAAAUUAAAGAGUAAGACUAUAAUUAAAGGAAAGUACUGGACAAAAAUCGUAAAUAAGCGAAAAAUAGAGUUAACAUCGACAACAAUCGAGAAAUUGGAUAAGGAUAGAUGGAUUAGGAAGAUUUGAGGUUGGUAAGUGUGAUGGUGGCAAUGGUUUGACUUGGAUCGUUGUGAGUUGAUAGGAAAAUUGAAUUGAAGUGGCAGUGGGAGUCUUGGUUUCAUUUCUGUUGAAUGGAGCGGCGUCUGGAAGCGGGUCUGGAUUGGAAAGAGAGAAUUAACAAUCGGGAGUAAUUUGGUAGGGGCAAAGGUUGGUGAGUCACAGUGGUUUGCAGCGAAAUGAGUAGCGACGAGUGUGGUGGUAUAGUGGUUUUGGAGACUAUGGUGGCAGAAAGGAGGGCUAAGGUAUGGUCGACGGCUCUUACUGAUUUGGGUGGUGACGGAGAUCGAUGAAAAAAAUGAUGAUUUUGUGUGUGGCGGUUGUGAUGGUGGCUUAUGGUUUUGCUGUUUUUUUAUUUUUUUUAAACUAUUUUUCAAAUUGAUGAAAUCGGUAGAUUUAAUGGAUGAUGAAGGAUUGGUAUAUGGAAGCGGUUGGUAGUUAGGAAUGCUUUGCCUGUGAUGUUAGAUAUCGUUUCAGCGUUCGUUUUUUAAAUUAAAAAACGAGAACUCUCGAGAAAAAAAUAUAUCAAUUAAAAAAAAUAAGUUGAAUAUUAUUGAUGAAAUUAUUAACAAGAAAUAAGUAUGACAAAUUUUAUUUAUAUUAGUUGUAAUUGAUAUUAAUUUUAAUGAAUUUAUAAUUCCUUAUAAGAAAAGAAAUAUGACUUAAAUAAAAAAAUAUAAAAAAAAUCCUAAUUAAACUAAGAAAAGAAAUUAAACUUAUGGUCCUCCACCAGUAGAGAGAAACAAGAUGACUGCCCAUGGAUCUUUGAAAUAAUGGUGCUUCAACUUGGCCUUCCACUUAUUACGACGCCUACUGCAAUGGAAAUUCACUUUGUUUAAUACCCCACAGUAGUAGAACUGCUCACCGAGUACACCACCAUCACCAAGCUUGUUCAAUAAGGUUGCAAUCACUUCAUCAUCACCUAACCGGUUAUCAAUUAUUCCACGGCGACGAAGUAAUUCAGCAUCCUUUGAAGAGUUAAUGAGGCAGUGCAGGAAUUUGCAGUAGUCUAAAAUAUGCUUUGGAUUUAUACCAUGGGAACACUGCUCGUAUACAAUGAGAUUUUGAAAAAUAGUUUCUGUAGCAUCACCAAUUUCCAAGGUUGGGAUCUUCAUUACCCCAUUUUUGAACUUUAUAUCAAAUAAGGAACCAUCCCUAUGGUCGUCAACCUUCUGGAACUUUAUUCCAGCCUUUUGGAUCUCCGAGGCAGAACAGAUGAAGCUCCAGUCACUAUUGUUUUUACCAUUAUUCGCAUAUGCUUCAAUUCCUGAAGGUGAAGGAAGCCAGUUAUCGUGUAUCAAAUUGACUAGAUGUUUGAUUUCAUUUAUCGGAUAAUCAUUAACCCGAUCAACACCAUCUCUUCGAAAUCCUUUCCCCGGUAGUAUUCCGUAGAAAAAACGCAAAAUUGUGAAAAGAAAGUUUUCGUUCCUUGGAAUAUUAGGCAUCUCAGACAUUAUAAACAACUUCCAAAUAACAAAAAAUGGAAGUUGAUUCUCAACCAAAAUCAUAUCUCGUGCUAUGUGAGGUAACAUCCAACCCUGUUUAAAAAUGGGGUCAUCAUCUCCUCUCAAAUGCGGCAAUCCAAACUUACGAAUAACCUCAACAAUGAAACAACCAUCGAAAAGCAUCAUUUGGACAAACUCAUUCUUGCCUAAACUUAUGGAUCCUCCGUAACAAUUUCGAGCUCUUUCUUCCAGUGCCCACAUGGCCCUCACAUAGUCUGGGUAAGGUAUACCCGUCCGCUCUAUGAGAGUUUGAAGAUAGCUGAUUUUGUGCUCUUCAAAUGCCGAUAAGUUAUCUUUACCGUGAUGGUAAGGACCGAUUGCUAGUAAUUCUGGUUCGUAAGCCUUUUCAUUUAAUUUGCGCAGUAGAUCAGGGACUCUGAAAAUGCUGAAUUGAGGUGUAGGGGUUAGACGAUGAAGCUUUUCUCCAACAAGAUCAAGUACUAUGUUAGGUGGUUCACGUGCCAUGACUUGAUCUGUAUUUAAGUAGACACAAAGGCAGAAAUGUUGAAAUCUGAAACUUAUUAAAUUAUGGACAACCAAAAAUGCCACAAGUGCUUGAAUUUUAGUUUAUAAAUUCCGGGAAAAACUAGUGAUUGUUAAUAGUUUCAUCAUCUAAGAAUUAUAUAUAGUUAAUAGUUUAUAACCAUUGGGAGUGAAACAAUUAUCCUGCUGUUAGAAUUUAAGGAACCACAAAUUGAAUGACCAUAUAUGGCAAAUCAAUAAGUUGUAUUUUCGUUUGAAAUUAAUUAAUAAGUCGAUUAAUGCUUGAAAGUUAUAAGAUAUACAAAUUAUAUUAAACAAUCCGUGAUCAUAACUUACUUGUUUGAAUGCUGCCGUUCCGAUUGCUAUACGAUAUUCCCUUCUUCCCUUCGUUUUCUUUUGAUGAAAGUAAAAUGUUUGGUUUGCAGGUGCAUAGAGGCUCCAAUUAAUUAAUACUUCAACUUUCAUUCCCUCUUUCAUUUUUGAUGAAGCAAAAUGUUAACUAAUGAUACAAAAGUCUUUGAAAUAUAGUCAAUAAAAAGAAAAUGUGGGUUGACCAGUAGAUUUCACGGCAGGUAUGUGUUGACUGGACUUCAUAUUCUGUACAUGGCUAAUAAAAAAGAUUAGGUUGAACGUGGAAUUUUCGCCAACUCGUUUUUACCGUUCAAGCAACGAAUUUUUUAUUAAAAAGAAAAUGUGGAAACGGUCGGGUUUGCAGCUGCAUAGGCUCCAUGAUAGAGAAAUCAAUUUCUUCAAAAUGCUUCUAGUGACUCCAUUUCAAACUUGGUGUUGAGUAAUAUACUUGGAUUCAACUUUUGUACUUAUCUAAUGGUGUAAGUAAUAAGGUUUACAAGUGUAAUCUCGAUAAUUAGUGACCACAUGGGCUAGAGUCCUCUUGAACUAAAAUUUCCUCGUCAAUUCAAUUACUUGUUUAGUAUUUGUAAUUAAUUUUAUUGUUAAUUGUAUUGAUUUAAGCCCUUGGUAAUUUAUUUCAUAAAAACCCAGACUAAAUUCUAUCUUAUUAGAAGUGAAACAAAAUUACCUUUUUUUCCAAAUAAUUAAAAGAGUUAGAAAGAUUUGGCGGCUUGGCAUUUCAUCAAAUUAAUAGAAUCCCAAUUUUAAAUUAAAAAUAAUUUGACUCAUCAAAAUCCUUUCCAAAUCAACAACCUACAUCUAGAAUCCCAAAAGCCUACAGGAAACCAACGAUUUUUCACUUUUGCAAAUCUCCAAGGCUGAAGACUGCAAAACAAAUCCUCUUCCAAUUAAGUUCAAAUAAAGUUCCAAUAGGUAUUCUUAAUUUUUUAUCUUUUAUUCAUAAUUAUCAUUACGGAUGAUUAUCUAUGUUAAGUUAUAUCAAGCAAUAAUUUGUUGUUUGUUUAUACUCUAAAAACUAAAAAGUAUCAUUAUUCAUCAUCAUCUUUUCGUUCGACUUGUGUAUAUUUAAAAUUAUAGUCCACCUAUGUUGGAACUGUUAUAAGGUAAAGCAUCUCUUCAUAAUAACACGAUCAAAGUUAUAAUGUAUUUUUUAUUAUUAUUUCUCACUCUUCGUGUGUGGCUAUGAGGUAGAGCAUGUCGUUAAGGUCUGCUUAAAUGAUUUUACAGACCACUUUAAUUUCAUAAAUGAGCGUUAUACCCUUUGAUUAUAACAACCCGAACAAAUAUAAAUAAAGUAAUAAGAUCAAAUAUUACAAUAAUUAUAAUUAAUAAAAUAAUGUAUAUAAUAAAAAAUAUUUUUGAUAUUAAGUUAUUAUUGGUCUAUCCCAAUGAAUUUUAUUAAUACUAGAAUUUAUUAAUUCAAAAAUUGACUUUAAGACAUACUAAUAUAGACAUAAUUAAAAAUGACAUUGUAAAUAAAAUAAUAUAAAUCUUAUAAAUUACUAUGAAUGUUAGAUAUAAUUAUUUUGAUAUUAUUAAUAUGUCAAAUAGAUUUUAUUAUUAUUAAAAGAAUACAAUAAUGUUAAAAUACCUUUUCUAAUAUUCAAAAUAAUUUAUAAAUUUUAUUUUAUUAUAUAUGUUAUAUUUUUUUAAUCUUAAUUUAUAUUUAUUAUAAAAGUUUAUUGAAAGUCAAUUAUUGGGUUGUUGUAAUCAAUGAUAUAAUAGAAAAAAAAAAGGUCUGUGUGACAAUUUAUAAAACUAAAGGGGCUUGUGUGACCAUUUAAACAAAUCAUGGAAGUGUAGAUGGCCUUUUCCCUUAUUAUAAUUAUUGUCGUUAUAUUCAUUAAGCCAGUUUUAUUAUAUCAUUUUUAGAUACUGACAUUGUUAUUAAGAAUGCCCUCUUCCAAAUAAAUUGUCUAGGUCCGUUACUGUGUAAGAAUGGAUAAUUUUGAUUAAAUAAUAGUUUUUUUUAAAUAUUCUUAUUAUUCUAUAGGAACCACUUACUAUAUAAAUAAUUAUCUAAUUUGCAAUAAAAAUAGAUAUGACAUGUUUAUGUGAUUUUUGUAGAAGAUGUGAUUAGUUCACUUGCUUCUUCUUGAAAUUAAUUCCGAAUUGAAUCUUAUCUCUAAUUUUUUGUAAUGCGAAAUUCCAAUUGCUAUUAUCAAUUUGUAUUGAUAAAUUAGUCAAUGUUAGUUAGUAUCCUUUUGAGUGCUUCUUCGCGCGAGACGGGACUCUAUCUGUCAUCUUUAACAUUCUAUAAUAAUCUUAUCACUACCAAUAUAUGCAACUAAUUACUAUUCAAAUAAAACAUAAUAAAUAUUAAAUCAAGAUAAAUCAAUACUAUAAAUGAGAUCACAUUUUCUAAAAUAAAGAAUAUCUUCAUAAAAUUAAUAAUUAAUAAAUUUAUGAUUAAUUAAUAUUCGUUGAAUUAAUUUAUUGACGUUUUACUAUAUUUGGCUGCCUAAGUCUUGUUUCAGUGAUCAAACUGUUGGGGAAUUUUAAAUCCCACCCAAGAUUUCACAACCAAAAAUAGCAAACAAAUAAUAGAUGGAAAAUAAAACCAAUCAUGCGCCCCGCCACCCCCUGCCCCCCGCCAAGGCUAUAGCACACCCGUCUCGGCGCCCCUGGGGCCAUUUUCACCUCCCGACCUGCGGGCACAAUGUUUGGGUGGGCCUCUGCACGUGCCCUCCCCCGGGCGCCCCGAGGCCCCUCGCAAAGUUUUGCCUCAUUCUGAGUCCCGCGGAGACCCCGCCCUGCCGCCCCCUGCCAAAGCUAUAGCACACCUGUCUCGGCGCCCCUGGGGCCUUUUUGGCCCCCCGACCUGCGGGCACAAUUUUAGUAUGGGCCUCUGCACGCGUCCUCCCCCGGGCGCCCCAAGGUCCCCUCAAAGUUUUGCCCCAUUCCGGGUCCCGCGGAGGCCACGCCCCGCUGCCCCCCGCCAAGACUAUAGCACAACACAAGAAUUCAUGUGGAAAGCUCUUAUACUGGAGAAAAACAGUGGCCACCAAGUUUGACGAGAGAAAAUUUUACUAUGUGAAAAAUUAUUACAAUCACUCUAGUAAGUUUCUUACAUCCAAACCCGAAUAACACCCAAUCGCUUAAUAGACUUACCGUUUCUCUCACAUUACGUUAACUUGUAGAGAACUAAUUAAUGUGCUAUACAAAUAAAUGAACUCAAUCUCCUUAUAUAUAGUGAUUAUUCAUUGUAGGAGAAGUAUUCAUUUCCUUAUACUAGUUGUAUUCGUCCUUGAAUAAGUCAAGUCCUAAAGGAAAAAUUACUUAUUCCUUGAAUAUGAAUCAUGCUAAAGAAGAAAAUAUCUUAGGAAAUCCUUAUUGAAAAAUAUGACAUAUUUCAUAACAAUCUCCACCUUGGCCAGGUGUUCAAUUAGGCAACAAAACACGAUCCACUGUAUAUCCAUACAACUGCAUCAUCUUCACAUUCUUUACUCCACCAAAACCAUACUCACAUAGGACUUAUAAGAAUCAAUCCAUCAUGAGUAAAAUUUUGUCAUCUAUCCAGUAGCAUAAUUCUCUGCACCGAGAAUCAUCAUACUCCAUUUUAUCCAAAGUAUGAAUAUUUGGUACAUGUUGAUCAUCUUGGUGAAAAUAGCGACUCUCAUGUUUGGCUUCCUUGAGGGUCCUCAGCCAUCAACAUAAAAAUUCCACCACACACCUUACAUAAAUGUCAAACCAUGCCUUGUGUGCAAAUCUUGUAGACCCACCAGUUGUAACACAUCAUUUUCCAUUACCUUAGUAGGUUGCCAUGAGGAUAUCUUCAUCAUCUAUCAAAAUGGACCAUCGUCUCCUACAAUGAUGAGAGACUUUUUGCUAGCGAUACUAUCAGUAUCUUUAUAUACUGACUUGGAGCCACUUGUUGAACUUGCUCCAAUUACUUUUUGACAAUCCUUUUUAAGGUGUUUUGAUUAUCACAAACCCAACUAACUCUUUUCUUCUUAGAGUUAUUUUUCUUCCAAUUAGUAACUGUCAAUGCCGAAUCAUCAGAAGCUUCAUUAGUUCCACCAUUCAACCUUCUUUCUUCUAAAUGUAGAGUACUAGUAGCUUCUUCAAAUCUACAGUUUCAUUCUCAUACAUUAAAGUAGGCAACAAAUGCUUGUAGGAAGUUGGAAGAGAUCACAAUAGUCUAAGUGCCUUGUCCUCAUCUUUAAUUUUAACUCUAAUUGUUUCUAGUUUUGUCACAAGGCCAUUAAGAACACUAAGAUGAUAAAUGUUUUUUGUACAUUUAACCAUUCUUAGCAUGUGAAAUCGCUCCUUAAGUUAUAAACGAUUGGAGAUACUCUUUGUCUGAUACAAAAUUUCUGGCCUCUCCCAAAGUUCUUUUGCCAAAGGAAUUGCUCCUACAUUCGCAAGAACAUUUUUUGUUAGACAUAAUCGUAUAGCACUUGUAGCUCUUUCAAUCUUCAUUGCUCAUAAUAAUAGAUUUUCCAAAGUCAUUGCUAGAAGCAAGAGAUGAUUUGCCCUUCAAAGUCUUGUAUAGCCUAGAUUGAAUCAAUACAUCCUUGACUUAAAUUUCCCACAGGCCAAAAUUGAUUCUUCCAUCAAACUUUUCAACCUCAAUCCUCAUAGGAUUUCAAAACUUAUAUACAAAUAUUAUUUCUUUACAGAAUAACCUUUAUCUCUAAUACCACUUGUUAGGAAAUUUUUAAUCCCCUUCAAGAUCCCACAAGCAAAAAUAUCAAAUAAAUAAUAUAUAGAAAAUAGAUAGAAAAUAAAACAUCACACAACACAAGAAUUUAUGUGAAAAACUUCUAUACAGAAGAAAAACCACGAUCGCGAAGGAUGACAAGAGAAAAAUCCACUAUGUGAAAAUUUAUUAUAAUCACUCUAGUAUUUUUCUCACACUCGAAACCCUAAUAAUACCUAAUCUCUUAAUAGAUUUACCGUUUCUCUCACACAAGAAACUAUCUACUUGCAGAGAACUAAUUGAUGUGUUAUACAAACAAGUGAACCCAACCUUCUUAUAUAUAGUGAUUAUUUUUUGUAGAAGAAGUAUUACUUUCCUUAUAUUAGUUCUAUUCCUCCUUGAAUAAGUUAAGUCUCAAGGGAAAAUUACUUAUUCCUUAAAUAUGAAUCAUGCUAAAGAAGAAAAUAUUCUAGGAAAUCUUUAUUGAAAAAUAAGACAUAUUUCCUCACGCAAGCAACUUUCUUUUUUUCAAAUCCUAAAAGAAGUAAGGUUUAAUUUCAUGAUUGUAAUAAAUUAAGAUCGAAAUAAAGGAAAUCUUGUUGUAAGAUAUUUCAAAAAAUAAUUGCACGUUAGGUUUUCUUAGGAUUACUUUUAAUGAUAACAAAACAAGAUAUUAAAACAGUUACAACUGUAACAACUCUUUUAACUUAACUAUUUAAUUUAGUCUACACAUAAAAUAAGUAAUUUCACCAUUCAAUAACUUUUCACCUUUCACAUUACUAGCACCAUUUUCAUUAAUGGUCGAGUUCCUUUCUCUUUGAUUUCAAAAGUUUUCCAUUCUUAUUCAAGUGAUGAUAGUAGAUGGCAAAGAUCCAAAAUGAUCUGGUAUUUGAUAAUCUUGCUCCCAUUCCAUUUUUUUAAAGGGACAUAAAUGUGUAUUAAGUUUUAUUCCGUUUGUGUAUUUGGGACCAAAAUUAAUACUAACUUCAGACCGUUGAAAAUCUCAUCCUAUCCCAAUUAUCACAAAUGUCUCGAACGUUCCACUUAAUUAAUAUUCAACUAAUUAAUAUUUUAAUUUCUAUUAACAUAUUUAAUAAGAGUUAAUUUCAAAAUUUUCAUAUAUUAAAAUAAUGGGUUAUUAUCUAGGGAUGACAAUGGGGAGGGUAGAGGAGGGGAUUGACAUCCCUGUGCCAAUCCGUGAUAUUCUGCAUAUGUUCCCAUCCCCUCUCGGUCCCCGUCAGAAUUGCUUAAGGGGAUUCCCGUCCCCUCCCCGAAUAAUAAAAGGGGAUCCUCGAAAAACUCCCAAAUAAUCGAUAUGUUUUUUGUUUCUAAAUUUGAUUUAAUCUAUUAAAAUAAAAAAUUUAAAUAAAAGUAAAGUUUGACAAUAUAUCUUAGUAAAGUUUGGAUGUUAUAGCCCUAGUUUUUGCUUUAGUUUUGUUUAUUAUAUAAAAGUUUAAAACAAAAAUUUUGGGCUAAGGCCUUUUGAAUAAGACCUGAUGGAAUAGUAAUUCUAUAAUUAGUUAACUGGGCCCAAAAUUUCAUAGCUUAUUUGCAUAAAUAUUUUUAUAUUUGUUAUUUUUACUAAUAUUUUAUAUUUUAUAAUAUAAAUUUUACAUUUAUUCAUUAAUAUUUCUAAAAAAUGAAAUUAAAAUAAGAAAUCAAAAUGGGAAAAUAGAGAAUUGGGGAGGGGAUGGUAAUUUCAUCUCAUCCUCAUCCCUUCCUCGAAAAAGCAAUUAGGUAAAAGAUCGUUCUCAUCCCUUUUCUGAAUAAGAAUUUUGGUAUAAAAUCAUCCCCAUACCCUCCCCAAAUAGGGAAAAUCUCCAAGAGGCCCCGUUCUCGUGGGGAUUUUUGCUAUCCUCGUUAUUAUCAUUUCCUACUUCAAGAAUUAAAAAAAUAUCAAAUGACUAUAAGAAAUAUUGUUCCCAUAAUUUAUUAUUACAACUUUGCAAAACCUUUCAUUUUACUACUUUUCAGUUAGGACAGUUAGUUGACUAGUAAAAUAUUAAUUUUACCCUUUAUGGUAAAAUACACAACUAGACGUAUCAAAUAAAGACAAAAAGUUAUUAUUAUACCUUAAAUUGUUAAAUAAUAAUUUUAACCAUGAACUUAUGAAUAACCCUAAAUUUAUUAUAACCAUAAAAGUAUUGAAUUAACAAAAAUACGCCUGGAUAUUUUGUGAAAAAAACACACAAUCUAUUCUAAAAAAAAAAACACUUAAAUGUGGAAGUGUUGAUUCUUUAGGUAAUUUUUGAAUUUUUUUUCUUUUUUUGGAGAACAUAUUUUGUGUUUUCUAACAAAAAUAUUCAGGGGUAUUUUUGUCAAUUUGGUACUUUUAUAAUUAUAAUAAAUUUAGGGUUAUUCAUAAAUUCAUGGUUAAAACUAUUAUUUAACAAUUUAAGAGCAUAACAUAAUUUUUUAUCUAUUAAUUGAUACUUCUAUUUGUGUAUUUUACUGUAAAGAAUAAAAUUGACAUUUUACUAGUCAACUAUCUGGUUAAUCAAUGGUUUAAAAGGAAAAAAAAUAGUAAAUGAACGAUUUUGUAAAGUUAUAGUAGUAAAAUGAUAGGGAACAAUACUUUCUGUAGUCAUUUGAUAUUUCACAAUUCUUAAAGUAGUGAAAUGAUAAUAACCUUUAAAAUAAUUAUGAUUCUAUUAACAACUCAAUUGGCAUUAAAAAAGAACAUUUCCAAAACCAUUAAAAAAUAAAGAAUAUUAUAUAUUGAUAAUUGAUAAUAUGCAAUUAAUAAUGUUAAAGAAAAACAAUAUUAAACACAUUAUAGCUAAAUAAUUGGAGGAUUGGAAUCUCAAGAUAAAUCCCAAUCUCAACCUAAAUUAGCUAUUGGGAUCAAUUUCUUUUUCAAAUCUCGAUGCGUUUAAAAUUAAUCCUAAUAAUGUGGACCAAUCCCGUCUUGAUCAAUAUGGGAUCCUGAAUCCCUAUUGGGAUUUAAGAUUUUUUGUCAUUCCUAAAUGAUAGUGCUACAAAUUCUUGUACAAACUGAUAUAGCAUAAUCUAAUGAGUAAACAUUAAGCUAUAAAUUAAUACUUAUUUUGUACAUACUGAUAUGACAUAAUUCAAUUGGUUGGAUUAAAUAAUAUCAAAGAAGGUUGUAAUAAAUAUUUUCAUUGAAAAAGGACAAGACUAAAAAAACAUUCAUUCAAAGAUUCCUAAACUAAAAAUGUAAAAUAACAAAUCUAUUUAUACUAACUCAACUAAGUAAAAACUGCUUAAAUAACACAAUUCUAGUAAAAUUAGAAUAACAACUCAGAAAACAUGUUAUAGAGUUUUGUCCUUCACAUUUUGUCCUAAAAAAAGUGAUGUUCAUGGAGUUUGAGAUUUCUUUGGAAAGGUUCAAUGUCAUCAUCAAUAUUCAGUCUUUGGGAUUUCCAUUGAUCCGUUUCCAAACUUUAAAUCACACGAGUUGCCCCCUCAGACUUCUAGAAUUCUGUAUAAUUAAAACAUUAAGGAUUAAUUGUACAGGUAAAAUGUGUGGUAAACAUGGUGGUGUACAAAUUAGACCUCAAUUAUUGCAAUGAAAAAUCUAGCUACAUUUUAUGGUGAUGAAGUUACUGUUUGGUAUUGGAAUACUUAGCAGUGGACAAAAUCAAGUUUGGAUCGGGUUCGGAUCAACCCGAUCUGAACUCAAUCCGAUUUUUAGAUCGGAUCAAACUAGACCCGAUUCAACUAUAUUCGGAUCGGAUUGGAUUCCGGGUAAAUCGGGUCAGUUCAGGUCAAUCGAAUGAUUAUUUAAAUUUUGCCUAAUAUAUCAUAUCAAGUUUUGUCGAUCGUAGAAAACAAUAGUUGGAGCAAAAUUAAACUAAAAUCUAAUUGAAGUCCAAAUAUAUAUGAUACAAGAAGAGAUUAAUAAAAAAUCUCAGGACAAAUUAUAUGCAAGACAAACCGUUCAGGGUCAAGGUGGAGGGUAGCAAUAUUGUGGUGUAUGUGGAUCAAAGAAUGGCAACAGCAGCCGCGAUGCAGGACAACAUAACACGUCGGUGAGUUGCAGAUCGCGAUGGCUUCACGAGGUUUCAUCAGUUGCGUUAGAUCACCUUCGCGCGGUUGCAUCAUUUGUGUUAGAUCACGUCAGGGCUGCUUUACUGUCGUGCUGCCUGUGUCUGCCGUGCUAUGUUUGGUGAGUGCUAUCGACCGUCGCUGCAUAUGUGGCUGCGUGUGGUAAGCUACUGUUGUGUUGUGUGUGUGAAGUGCUAUUGUGUUGUGUGUGUGAAGAGAAAGAGUGAAAGACCAUGAUGUUUGAUUGUUUGUAAGAUGUAAUGUUGAAUUAGGUUAGGUUAUGUUUUUUUUAUUAACAAGAGGCCAACCUGAUCAGAUUUUCAAAUCAGUUCAGGUUUAAUCCGAUUCGAUCACGAUCCGAUCAUGUUGGUUGAAUCCAUCUGAUCGAACUAUAUGGUUAAGCUAAAUCAAAUAGCUUCCAAAUCACAACAUCAUUUAAAUGUUUGGUUAAGUAACAUAUAUGGUAACCAUCAAGCAUUGUAGCGUAAUAAGAGACCUUGCAUAGUCAAUUGUGAUGGAAUAGUUAUUGAUGCUAAGAUUUUAUUCUCCUACCAUUAAAAGGUAGAGAUAGAUAUCUCUCCCACAAAUAUGGGUAGAGCUCAUAUAUGCCUAGAUGUUAGUGGGGUAUAUAUAUCACUAUAUUAUGGGCUGUAAUAUGAUAGAAUUGAUUUAGAUUAGUCUAAAUGGAUCCUUGAUUGUAAAUAUUGGUGUAAAAUAUUAGUAAAAUUCUGAUUGUAUUAAAAGAAGUUACAUAUGUGGAGGAAAAAAAAGAAGAGUUAGAUAAAAAUUGUGGUUAAAAUCGUUAGCUAAGACUAAUAAAAUACUAUAAGGCAUGCUUUUAGGUGUAAAACAUGAGGAACGCCAUUUCAUAUGGUAGAUUUGGUUGAAUUAGAUGAAACUAAACGGGAUUGGAUAUGAUUAAUACUUACUUAUGGUCAGUUAUUUCAUCAGCCAUCACUUGCUUUUAGAAAAUGUACAGUCAAGAAGUAAUUGGAAAUAUGUUAAAAUUUGAACUUGCAGUUCAGCCACAACUUUUAAAGGAACCCAAAACUCAAAAUUAUACAAGACAGUACCAGCUGGAUCUAGGAUCUGGAACCUCAUAUGGCCUGGUCUUUCUGACGUAUAAAAUUAAACAAGUGCCUCUGCAAAAUUCCUAGCUAGGACCAAUUAAAGAGACAUCAAAUUAAGAUUUGGUUUAUUUAAUUAAUGAACGCUUCAUUGAACUUGCUUAAAAAUAAACCAAGGGUUUAGAUUACAUCAGUGAAAACAACAAAGGAUGACAAACUCAUAGUAUACUUUUGUCUUCAUUUUAAUUCCUUUGAUGACUCGCAUCCUUAUCUUGCAGUGUUCUCGGUUGUUCUACGCCAAAACCUUGCAGAGGCUCUCGUAUCAACCAUAUGAUUGAGAGCACUUCUGAUCGGCACAAGGGAACCAUCUGAUUUGCACAAAAUUUUCAAUUAUGGCUUCCCCGCCAAAAUCAUUUCAUUGGCGCAUUCUGUAGAGCACCUGCGAACAUGUAUCAGCACCUUAUUUUUUUACUGUGACUGAAGUUGUGUAUGAUACAAUAAACGUGGCAAACACAAGCCUCAAAUUGACAUUUUAUUUCUAAUUUUCUAUCAUUACUACAACCACAAGAGUGCCUCAAAAUUGAAACAGAGCCUGUCGUUUAUUUAAAUAGGCAACAACUGGUAAUAAAAUGUGUACAAAAUUGAGAAGAAGCAUGCGAAAUAACUACAACCAUCUUGAUUCAUGUCUCCAAUGCCAUGAUCACUGCAGAUGCUCCCAUAUUCAAUAACUGUGCGUUUGUAAACAGUGCUUGCACAAAGGUUAGUGGAAGCAGGAAAGCAGCAGCGAGAAAGGAGAAGAUUGCUCAUGGAGUAUUGGGAUUAUAAAUGUGCCUCAACUUGGCCUUCCACUUAUUACGACGCCCAAUGCAAUGCAAACUUUAUUGAUAACUGAUUAGGAGAUGAUCUUCAUUACCCCGUUUUCGAACUUUAUAUCAAACAAGGAACCAUCCUUAAGGACGUCAACCUUCUGGAGCUCGUAACGAAGCGGGAACUAUAAACGAACAAAGUUCUGAAUUAAAAUUAAGAGUUGUAGACAUUCUAAGGUUUCGCUCCUUUAAUACAUAGAAUGCAAAAUUACCAAAAGGGGCAAAACUAAACAUAAAAUAAAAUUCUGAUGUCUGAAAUAAUAAAAAAAAAUGCGUGCAAUUCGAGGGCAUCCAGAAAGCCGGAUAUCCGGAUCCGGUUAAUUUCAUAUUAAAAUAAUAUAUAAUAUAAAUAUAUAUAUAAUGUUAACUAAUGAUAGAAGAAUUUCAUCUUAUUGAAAUUGUUAGACUUGAAAUUCGAGACAGAUGUAACGCGUCCAAACUAUCCGCGAUGUGAUCACCAUUGCCAUGAGUAAUAUUUACAUAUUAUUUAACCCGCAUCUUCUAUUUAGUAAUGCACGCAUUUGACAUUGCACACUAACAAAAUUUAACUCAGUACCUUGUUGUUUAGUGUCGAAUAAGUCGUAUUAUAUUUGACAAACCAAAUAAGCAACAACUGUAAAUAAAGUUUAUACAAAUUUAAGAAGAAGAAUGGACAAUCACUACAUUUAACCAUCUUGACUCAUGUCUACAAUACCACAGUCACUACUGUAUCUGCUUCUAUAUUCAAUGGCUUUGCGCUUGUUGAUAAUAAGAAAGAACUGCAAACAGAGCUUGCUGCAACGUUAGGAGAAGUAGGAAAAGAGCAGCAAGAACGGAGAUGAUUGCCCAUGGAGUGUUGAAAUAAUUGUGCCUCAACUUGGCCAUCCACUUAUUACGACGCCUACUGCAAUGCAAAAUCACUUUGUUGAAAACCUCACGGUAAUAGAACUUCUCACCGAGUACAACGCCAUCACAAAGCUUGUUCAAUAAGGUUGCAAUCACUUCAUCAUCUCCUAACAAAUUCUCAAUUAUUCCACGACGGCGGAGUAAUUCAGCAUCCUUUGAAGAAUUGACGAGGCAGUUCAGGAAUUCGACAUAAUCGAUUACAUGCUUCAGAUUUAAGUCUUGGGAACACUGCUCGUAUGCAAUGAAAUUCUGUAAAAUUGUUUCUGUAGCAUCACCAAUUUCCAAGGACGGCAUCUUCAUUACCCCAUUUUCGAACUUAAUAUCGAACAAGGAAUCAUCUUUAAGGACCAAAUGUUUUAUUUCAUUUAUGGGGUAAACAUCAACUUGAUAAACAAUAUCUCUUCGACAACCUUUCCCUGGUAAUAUGCCAUUGAAAAAACGCAGGAUCAUGAGAAGAAAGCUUUCGUUCCUUGAAUCACUAGGCAUGUCAGUCAUGAUAAACAACUUCCAAAUAACAAAAAAUGGAAGUUGAUUCUCAAGCAAAAUCAUAUCUCGUGCUAUGGAAGGUAACAUCCAACCUAGUUUAAAAUUUGGGUCAUCAUCUCCUCUCAAAUGUUUCAACCUAAACUUGCGAAUAACCUCAACAAUAAAGCAACCAUCGAGAAGCAUCAUUUGCACAAACUCAUCUCUGUUUAAACUUAUAGAUCCUCCAUAACACUUUCGAGCUCUUUCUUCCAAUGCCCUCAUGGCCAUGACAUAGUCUGACAAAGGUAUACGAGUACGCUCUAGAAGUUUUUUAAGAUAGCGAGUUUUGUGCUCUUCAAAGGCCAAUAAUUGUUCUUUGCCGUGAUGAUAAGGACCGAUUGCUAGCAUUUCUGGUUCAUAAGCCUUUUCAUUUAACUUUCGCAGUACAUCAGGCACCUUGAAAAUGUUGAACUGAUCAGAUGGCGUAGCAGUUAGACGACGAAGCUUUUCCCCAACAAGAUCAAGCACUAUGUCAGCUGGUUCACUUGCCAUGUCUUGGUCUGCAUUUAAGUCACAAUCUCAAGCACUAUAAAAUUUCAACAAUGUUGAAAUCUGCAUUUCCAUAAAUUAUUGACAUCCACAGAAAACACAAGUACUUAAAUUUUCAUUAAAGUUACCAUGAAUGUCAAGAAUUAUGUCUGAAUUUCAAAAAUUCAGAUGUGUAUUAGCUAACAACUACUGAUUGAUAAUAGUUUCAACAUCUACUUAUAUAACAAGAGGGAAUGAAACAAAAUCAACAAAAAUAACCGACUAAUCGAAUGACCAUAAACAACUCAAAAAGUUAAUUUUUUUUUUUAAUUUCAAUUCUUCAUAUCCUUAGUAAUAAUUCCUACAGCAAUGAGCCAGAUCACGGAUAUCGCCUCUCACACGGCUACAGAGACUAAGCAAAAUUCAUACGAAGUAGAUUAAUGCUUCGGAGUUAUAAGAUACAUUAUUCUAAACAAUUGUGUGAUAACUUACUUGCUUGAAGGCUACCGUUCCUAUUGCUUGACGACAUCGCAAUCUCACCAGUGCAAUGAUUCUUGGUUCACGAGAUCCUAAUCUUAACAUAGCAGGGAAUUCGAUCCUUUGCUUUCUUUUGAUGAAAUAAACUAAAAUGCUUACUAAUUAUGCAAAGGAGACUGCACGUGGAUGUGGGCUCCAAUCCUACAACUUUAGUCGAAAUGUUUCUCACUCAAUAUAUGUAUAUAUAUAUAUUACAAAUCAUCUAACAAAUUUUUGGGUCAUGAUAUUCAGCUAAUUCCUGAGUGGAGCAUGGCAUUUCAGAUUAUUUUUCUUUUUCUCAUCCUAUUGCCUGCUUAUUGAAGUGGGGUGCUAAGAACAUGCAUAAAAGUAAAUGAAUUCAAAAAAUUAUGGGAUCCGAUGAGAGUCAUUGCACCCGAACCUGCUCAGAUUAAUUAGAGAAAAACGAUUCCGAACUUUGUAUGCAUUGCGAACCUUAAUCUGAACCUGAACCAGUCCAAAUUUAUAGUCCAUGUAAGUUUGAAUUUAGGUAGAUUCAGCAUGUACUUAAAGAACAUGCUUAAAGCUUAAUCAAUUCAAAAAGUAACUUGUAUAAUACUCUGGUUCUGUUAAUUAAAAUUCGAGUUUUAUUUCGAAUUGAACAUUAGCAUCAUCCAACCAUACCACCCAACGAUAAGAUGCAUAUGGAUGUUCUUGGAAAAUUGAUGGGUGAAGCAGACACGCAACUAAAGUGAAAUUGAAAAAUAAUAAGAUAAUGGAAUCACACAAGGACACCAGAAAUUGUCAAAGCCGGGUGGCCUUAACAAGAAAAAUUCAAAUUGGCUUUCACAGCCACCAAUCUAGAAGGAUUUGGUGCCGCCCAAAGAAAAAGAAGAAGAAUUUGGCAGCAGCAAAUUUGGAAUGAAGAAAAAGAAGAAAGAAGAAAAUAGAAGAAUGAAGACGGUGAUAAAAAUAAUAAUAAUUUAAUAGCCAUUUUUUGGCUAUAAAAGGGAGAGCUCCCCAUUUCAUUUGGCAUCCAAUUUUUUGAGAGGAAUUCAAUUUGUGAGAGAGAAAAACCAGAGAGUUUUGUAGAGCUUAAUAAUAAAAGCUCUUGUGUUUAGUGAUUUGAGAGUUUGAGUGUAUUGAGAUUUUGGGUAGUGAGCUAAAAUAAUAUAAUACUUGUAACUCCUUUUUUACUAGUAUAAUAUUUUCCUUCUGUUUUCACCCGUGGACGUAGGCUGAAAGCCGAACCACGUAAUUUAUGGUGUUCUCUUUUGUGCUUGUUCUUUAUUUUCUUCCAAUUUCACUUUAGCUGCGUGUCUGCUUCACCCAUCAAUUUCCUAACAGUGGUAUCAGAGUUAUUGGUUGUAUUUUUGGAGUCGGCUACUAUUCACGUAUACGGCACUAUUCACGUAUACGUACUGUUCACGCAUAUGGUACUAUUCACGUAUAUGGAACUAUUCACGUAUAUGGCACUGUUCACAUAUACGGUACUGUUCACAAGAAACGGUGGGAGUGAUCCAAGAAUUUUGCAGUGCAAAGUAGGGAAUAGUGAUGUGAGUAAAGCAACUGUGUGGUUUUGUACAUGUUUAGGAAAGUUCUGUCGCAAAAGCGAUAAGAGCUUAAGGAGUCUGGGUUUUAAGUGAGACCAUUGUGACCCCUCCAGACUUUCUUGGGAACUUUCUUGGUGUGCAUUCUCACACAUACUCACAAUUAUUCAAGGUGGUACACUAACUUGUGUGCGGUAUUUAUCAACAAAAUGACGGCAAAGUAUGAAAUUGAGAAGUUUAACGGAAAUAAUUUUUCGUUGUGGAGAAUGAAGAUGAAAGCUGCAUUGAGGAAAAAUAAUUGCUUGGCAGCAAUUGGAGAAAGGCCCAUGGAGAUAACUGAUGACAAGUGGAACGAGAUAGAUGAUAAUGCCAUUUCUAAUCUACACUUGGCACUUGCAGAUGGAGUAUUAUCUAGUGUAGCAGAGAAAAAUACAGCGAAGGAAAUAUGAGAUAAUCUUACAAAAUUGUACGAGGCCAAGUCACUACACAACAAAAUCUUCUUGAAGAGGAGACUUUAUACUCUUCGAAUGGCGGAAUCAAUAAUGGUGACUGACCACAUCAACACCUUGAAGACUCUAUUUUCACAACUCACAAUGUUGGGUCAUAAUAUAGAAGAAAAUGAACGUGCAGAGCUUCUACUUCAAAGUCUACCAUAUUCGUAUGAUCAACUCAUCAUCAACCUGACGAACAAUAAUCCAACAGACAGUCUAGUUUUUGACGAUGUUGCAGCCUUCGUAUUAAAUGAGGAGAGCAGGCGGAAAAAUAAGGAAAACAGACAAGCAAGUUCGCAACAAGCGGAGGCGCUAUCGGUGAUGAGAGGGAGAUCAACAGAACGUGGCCCCAGUGGGAGUCCCAAUCAUGGUAGAUCAAAAUCCAGAAGUAAAAAGAAUGUUAAAUGCUACAACUGUGGCAAGAAAGAGCACGUCAAGAAAGAGUGUUGGAGUAACCAGAAGAGAAGAGAGGACAAAGAACCCGAGUCAUCAAAUGCUCAGGGAUGUGUAGCAAGUACCUCGGAUGCUGGCGAAAUUCUCUACAGCGAGGCAACAACUAUUUCAGAAGGCAGAAAAUGACUAUCUGAUGUCUGGCUUAUAGAUUCAGGAGCUACCUGGCAUAUGAACCUAUCUUAGGAGGAUCUGUAUAUAUGAGAGAUGAUCAUGCCUUGGAGAUCGCUGGUAUUAGUACUAUCAAAAUACAAAUGUUUGAUGGUACAAUUCGCAUAAUUGGGGAGGUACGACAUGUCAACGACUUGAAGAAAAAUUUAUUAUCUUUGGGACAAGGAAUUAUGAAGAUUGUUAAAGGUGUGCUUGUAUUGAUGAAGGCAGAAACGAUCGGUGCUAAUCUAUUUAUGCUUAAAGGAGAAACACUACAGGAGGCUGAUGCGUGUGUCGCGUCAACUAGAGAAGAAUCAACGAUGAUGUAGCAUCUAAAACUUAGCAACAUGUCAGAACAAGGUUUGAAGAUUCUCUCUGAGCGAAAAUUGCUUCCGGGGCUCAAAUCGGUAAGUUUACCAUUUUGCGAGCAUUAUCUUACAAGUAAGCAGAAUAGAUUAAAAUUCAGUAGAUCUGUUGCUAGAAGUAAAUGCAUUCUAGACUUGAUUCAUUCUGAUGUUUGGGAAUCAUCGAUAUGUCUAUGGGAGGUGCAAAGUACAUGGUGACUUUCAUUGAUGAUUAUUCCAGGAGAUGUUGGGUGUAUCCAAUUAGAUGUAUUUCCAGUGUUUAAAGAAUACAAAGCGCGGGUGAAACUUGAAUCUGGUAAAAGGAUCAAGUGCUUGAGGGCAGAUAAUGGUGGAGAGUAUACAGACAACGAGUUUCUUGCUUUUUGUAAGCAAGAAGGUAUUCAGAGACAGUUCACGGUGGCAUACACUCCUCAAUAAAAUAAAGUGGUAGAACAGAUGAAUAGAACUCUUACAGAACAGAUAAGAGCUAUGUGAAAUACAAGUAUGCAACCCAAGAGGGGGGGUGAAUUGGGAUUCUAAAAAAUUAUUCAAUUUAUUAAAGAAAAUCUUAAUGUAAUUAUAAAUCAAAUUCAAAGCAAUAACAAUUAAGAGAAUCACAAUAUAAAAAGAUAAGGGAAGAGAGAUUCAAACACCGAGAUUUUUACGUGGUUCGGCCAACCUCGCCUACGUCCACGCCUCCAAGCUUUCCAGGCUUGAGGAUUCCACUAAGCAAGACUCCAAGGCUUCAAAUGCUUACACUUGACUUCCAAGGUGUCAAUGGACCUUUACAACAAGAGAUUAUCCCCAAUCUCUUAACCCAAGUGUAUCCCAACACUUACAAUCACUCAAAAUAAAAGAUUACAAACUGUUUUGCCUCUCACAAUAUAUAAGAUUACAAAAUGAUGCUUAAUAUGUGAAUAGAUGAAGCAAGAAUGUGUUCUAAGCUCUAUGAAGAUUGUAUUCUCGAAUAUUAGCUCAAAUGGUCGUGUUGUGAUCAACCUUCUUUGAAUUUGAAUGAGCUUAUUUAUAUCUGGAUCUGAAAAUCUAGCCGUUACAAACUGUCGGACAGAAAACGGUUCGCCAUUAACCCUAAACGGUUAACCGUUUCGGUUGGUCAAAGUUACCGUUGGGCCAAAUUUCACAUAAACGGUUUGCCGUUUGUAAUUAACCUUUAGCCGUUAACUACCAGAGACCUGCAAGAUGAGCAUUUGUUAUCCGUUUACGCUAAACGGUUAAGGACUUGCGUGAAGUAACGUUUCUGGAUAUUAUCGGUUAACCGUUUGAAAUAAACGGUUCGCCGUUUGUCUCCAGUAACCUGCAAAACAAUUUAGCCUUAUCAGUUUUCGUUAAUCAGUGCCAGAGGAGGACAACCUUCAAUUCUGGACAUUAUCGGUUAACCGUUUAAAAUAAACGGUUCACCGUUAAGUUCCAAUAGCCUUUCCAUUCUUGGUGAUUUCCGUUUUUCAUAAACGGUUAGAGCUUUAGGCAUUAUGUCGCUCUCUGGUGUUAAUCGGUUAACCGUUUAAAAUAAACGGUUCACCGUUAAGUUCCAGUAACCUUCCCAUCUUUUGUGUUUUCCGUUUUUCAUAAACGGUUAGAGGUUUAGAAAAUGUGUUGCUCUCUGCCUUUAAUCGGUUAACCGUUUGAAAUAAACGGUUCACCGUUUAUAACCAGAAUUGUAAUUUUAAACGAGUUUUUGUAGAGAAUCUCUUUCUAAUUUGAAAGUCCAUCUUUUAUGAAGAAAUAAGGCAAUGAAUAAAAAGGCUUUCGUUUAUUAAGAAAUAUCUCCAAUAUUUUUGUCAAAAACCAUAUAAAAUUUGUUAUCAUCAAAAUCAAUAUUAUUAACAUAUUUAUGUUAACAAUCUCCCCCUUUUUGAUGAUGACAAAUUCUAAUCAAUGUUUAGCUCCCCCUUAAUAUGUGCUCCCCCUAAAUGUAUGGCCAAAUUGAGAAAUGUGAAUAAAAGGAUUUUUGCUUUAAAUCUCCCCAUUUUAAAUCCAUCUUAAAAUAAUAUCUCCCCAUGUAAAAACAAUCUUAAAAACCAUAAUUAUCUCCCCCUUCAUCAUCAAAAAGAAAAGAGGAAAUAAGAAAUAUGCAAAUCCAUGAAAGAAGUUGCCCGGCUUUGGCGAGCGAAAAUUUUGGCAGAGUUUCCCCUUAAAAAUGAUCAAAACCACUUAUACAAAAUGAGAUAGAACACUUCCAAAAAUAGAUUGACACCAACUUCUUCUUUCAACAAGCCAACAACUCCAUGAUCAAAACAAAAGAACACUUCAAACAUACCAACAAUUAUUCAAUCACAAAGCAUCAAUCAUCUAAUCAUCAAGAACAUCACACACAUAUGCAUCAAGAUCCAUAUACGAAGUAUGAAAAAGCUAACAACCAAAAUGGAAAAAAUGUAUGUGCGAAAACAGAACUCAGAAACUAUGGAGGUGGAGAAGAUGUGCUCCCCGGAUCAUAGCCGAAAUAGCUGAGAAGAGUGCGCUGUCCGGCGAUAAGCUCGAGCUACUGGUCAAUGCUCUGCUGCUGGAAAAUCUGAAAGUCAGAGCGGAGCUGCUGGUGAUCACGGGAAAUGAUGUCCAACCGAUCAAGAAUCAGCUGCUGUCGCUCCGAAAUCCGCUGAACAUCAGUAAUCAGCUACUGCACCGCGUCUGAAGCAGGGGGCUGAACUGGAGCUGGAGGCGGCAUAGAGGCAGAUGGCUGCUCGGGAACAGCAGAAGGCUCAGGAGCAGGAGGCGGCUCGGAAGAUGAUGGAAUAUCAGCAUCCAUCGCACGCUCCUCAGAGUCUGAGUCAGCUGGAGGCCGAGGGACAAAAUGGCGACGCGGAGGAUGAGGAUGAGGUCCUAAUCUAAAGUCAGGAAGCUGAUCGGGAGAAUAGACAUCAUUGAGCAUCCGAUCGUCCUCUGGAGCAAUCAAGGUAUCCCGGUUUUUGGAGUUGCUUGUCUUUAUCCACACUCCAUUCUUUCUAGAGAAUCUGAUACUGGUCAUGGCUUCGGAACCAAUCCGUCGAGUCUCCAUAUGUCCAGUAUCAAGAAGUGGCACCUUAAAGCGUCGCAGUAUUUUAGUGAUGAUACUGCCAUAAGGAAGCAAGCAAUGGUUGACCGCUGGAGUACUCAACAUAUGUCGCACAAUAAUAUACCCGAGGUUAAUGGGACGGUCUGUAAGAAGGCUAUCUAAUAGGGCAACGUCCAACCUCGUAACCUCAUCCGAGUGACCCUUCCUAGGAGUCACUAUGUGCUGUAAAAUAGUGUGAAGAAUACGAACUUGGAGAGGUAAAAGUUGAGACCGAAACGGAAGCAAACAAAUCUCAUCCGAUAAGUCUCGACGACGACAUAUAUUACGGACGCCAUGAGUAUGAGAAAAACUAUCAAAGGAGAGGGCUUUCCUAGAGGUGUAAAUAUCAAGCCCCUCACAAGAGAUACCAAGAAGGUCAGUUAGGUCCGCAUCAUCAAACUCUAUUGGCACACGGCCGACUUGAGUAACUAUCCUAUUUAGGCGAGUGUCGGAGAUUUCCAUGUUCGAAUAAAAGACUCGCACUAAGUUUGGAUAAACUCGGUCAUCAAAAUCAAUGGCAGACUCCCAAGGCAGAAGCAUAUCCCGAAUACUUCUACCACAUACAACUAAGUUGCGGAAAUCAUCAAUAUCAACAAAAUAAGGAUCAAGUACCUUUCGACCAUCAAAGCGAUCUUCGAACCGCUUAGCCAAGGCAGGUGUGGGGAAUUGAAUCCUUGAAAAUUCAGAGACCUCCCGAGGUGGUAUGGGAUUCCUUGGAGGCACAGAUUUACGCCUGGGAUUUCUCCGAGAGGGUUCAACUAUGGAAACACGUAAUGGGACGAAAGUAAAUCGAUAAAAGGUUUAAGGAAGAGUAGAGGAUGUGAGUAGGAUGUUCAAUUUGGUUGAAGAAAGGUGGAAAUUGGAUUAAGAACGAAGAAACCCGACCCGCGACAGUUAGGGUUUAGAUUUGGGAUUUUUGAAUUUUGGGCUCGAUUUGGAGUUUUGAAUCGGUAGAAUUGUUCUAAAGGUGAUAAGAAAUGAUUUUAAAGGUUUGAUUUGGCAAGGAAAGCAAGAAAAAUGAGGAUUUGAGGACAGAGAAACCUUCGGCUACACAACAAUGGUGGAAACGGUGAAAGGGUAACUGGAGAAGGAGAAGAAAACCUUUGAGCAGUUUAAAUACUUCGUGAAAACGGUUACCGUUUAUUUAAACGGUUAAAGGGUAACUUAUAGAGGCUGAAGAAAGGGAAACGGUGAAAGCCUAAGCGCUUAAUGGCUAAGGAGUAACUGUUAGAGGACUCUCUGUUGAAAAACGGUUCACCGAUUGUGGCAAACGGUGAAAGGGUAAACGGACAGACACAUAAUCUCGUUUCUGGAAUUAAACGGUGAUCCGUUUAUAGGAAACGACUAACCGUUUAUUUUAUCUGUAAUUUCGCACAUUUGAUUUAAUUUUUGGCCAGCAAAUAAUAUAUUCCAAGAUCAUUUAAUUGAUCUGAAAAUAUUUUAUGAGCCAAUUUAAUGCAUGAUUCAUGGACAUGUUUUCAACCAAACAAUUCAUAUAAUCAAGAGUUAUCAAUGCAAAUUCAUCAUUUGUCUACCAAGCUCAAGCAUUUCAUAAAUAGUAAUCAAUCAAUUCAGUACACUCAAUAGCAUGAAUAGAGAUGUUAAUGCAAAAAUUUCAUCAUCCCAAGUUCAUGCCGAAUUUUUGAAAAUUGUUCUUCGCAAAGCGGUUUUGUGAAAAUAUCGGCAAGUUGUUUUUCCGUGGAAAUAAACUCUAAUGCAAUAUCUCCCUUUUGAACAUGAUCUCUCAAGAAAUGAUGUCUUAUUUCUAUAUGCUUGGUUCGAGAAUGUUGAAUGGGAUUCUUUGAAAGGUUUAUAGCACUAGUAUUAUCACACUUAAUAGGAAUUUGUUCAAGAUUAAUGCCAUAAUCUCUAAGUGUUUGUUUCAUCCAAAGUGCUUGUGCACAACAACUUCCGGCAGCUAUAUAUUCAGCCUCGGUAGUUGAAAGUGCAACAGAAUUUUGUUUCUUGCUAAACCAUGAAACAAGAGAGUGUCCUAGAAUAUAGCAAGUUCCACUAGUGCUCUUCCUAUCCACUUUAUAACCAGCAAAAUCCGCAUCCGAAAAACAUGUUAAAUCUAUAUGAGUUCCCCUAGGAUACCAAAGGCCAAUAUCUAUGGUUCCACUCAAAUAACGAAAAAUUCUUUUAACAGCGAGCAAAUGAGAUUCCUUGGGACAUGACUGAAAUCUUGCACACAAACAUACACUAAACAUGAUAUCGGGUCUACUUGCAGUCAAAUAAAGUAAGGAUCCGAUCAUACCUCGAUACAUUUUGAUAUCCACUUCUUUACCUUUUUCAUCUUUGUCCAGCUUGGUUGUUGUGCUCAUUGGUGUAUUCUUGGUCUUUGAAUCAUCAAUGCCGAAUCGUUUGAGUAGAUCCUUUACGUACUUGGCUUGAUUUAUGAAAAUUCCUUCCUCGUUUUGUUUGAUUUGAAGUCCAAGGAAGUAUUUCAACUCUCCCAUCAUACUCAUCUCAAAUUCUUUGCUCAUACACAAUGAAAAUUCUUUACAUAACAACUCAUUAGUAGAACCAAAAAUAAUAUCAUCAACAUAAAUUUGAACAAUAAGUAUGUCUUGGUUCUUAUGCUUAACAAAUAGAGUAGUAUCUGCUUUACCUAUAGAGAAGUCAUUUUCUAGCAAGAAAUUUUUAAGUCUAUCAUACCAUGCUCUAGGUGCUUGUUUUAAUCCAUACAAGGCUUUGAGCAACUUAUACACAUGAUUUGGAAAUUUUUCAUUUUCAAAACCAGGAGGUUGUUUCACAUAAAUUUCCUCCAAAUUAUAUCCAUUUAAGAAAGCACUCUUGACAUCCAUUUGAUAUAAAAUAAAAUCCUUAUGACAUGCAUAUGCUAACAACAUCCUAAUGGAUUCUAACCUUGCUACAGGUGCAAAGGUUUCAUCAAAAUCAAUUCCUUCCUCUUGGUUGUAACCUUGAGCCACUAAUCUAGCUUUGUUUCUUACAACCACACCGAAUUCAUCCAUCUUAUUUGUAAACACCCAUUUAGUACCUAUUAUAGAUUGAUGUUCAGGUUUAGGAACUAAUUCCCACACAUUGUUUCUUUCAAAUUGAUUUAACUCCUCUUGCAUUGCCAUAAUCCAAGAUUCAUCAUUUUCUGCAUCCUCAAAGGAUUUUGGUUCAAUUUGAGAGAUGAAUGCAUUAUGCUCACAAGUAUUUCUAAGUAAUGAUCUAGUUGUAAUACCUCAUGAGGGAUCUCCUAAAAUUACGUCUUUAGGGUGAGAAGAGACAUACCUCCACUCUUUGGGGAGUGUUUGAGAAGUACCUUCAUUUUGCUCCACAUUUGGUUCUUCAUGAUGUUCCUCUUGAAUUCCAUGUGGUGCAUCUUCUUGAUUGUCAUUUGAUGCUUCUUCUUCUUGUUCUUCUUCUCCUGCAUCAUCAUCAACAACGACUUUCUCCGUAGAGGAGGGGUUAGACUCAUCAAAUGUGACAUGCAUAGAUUCCUCCACAACUAAAGUUCUUUUGUUAUAGACUCUAUAAGCUUUGCUUGAAUUUGAAUAACCAAGAAAAAUACCAACAUCAGAUUUUGGAUCAAAUUUACCAAGAUUAUCUUUUGUGUUCAAAACAAAACAUUUGCAUCCAAAAACUUUAAAAUAGCCAAUGUUGGGUUUUCUAUCUUUCCAAAGCUCAUAUGGAGUUUUAUUAAGAUUAGGUCUAAUCAACACCCGAUUUAAAACAUAACAAGCGGUGUUGACGGCUUCGGCCCAAAAAUAUUUUGGUAAUGCAUUUUCAUUUAACAUGGUCCUAGCCAUUUCUUGAAUAGAUCUAUUCUUUCUCUCAACAACUCCAUUUUGUUGUGGGGUUCUAGGUGAUGAAAAUUGAUGCUCAAUGCCUAGAUUAUUACAAAAACUCUCAAAUGCAUGAUUUUCAAAUUCUCCUCCAUGAUCACUCCUAAUGCAUACAAUACCAUGCCCUUUUUCAUUUUGUAAUUUCUUACAAAGCACUUUAAAAGCAUCAAGAGCAUCAUCCUUAUUGGCUAAGAAUAAUACCCAUGUAUAUCUAGAAUAAUCAUCCACUAUCACAAAUGCAUAAUAUUUGCCAUCUAGACUUGCAUAUCUAGAUGGCCCAAAAAGAUCUAUGUGGAGAAGUUCAAGUGGUUUUGAAGUAGAAAUAUGGUUUUUAUUCUUGAAAGAAGUUUUAAUUUGUUUUCCAAAUUGACAAGCUUCACAAAUCUUAUCCUUUUGAAAACCAAUUUUCGGAAGACCUUUAACUAAAUCAUCUUUCGAAAUUUUUGAAAUCAAAUCAAUACUUGCAUGUCCUAACCUUCUAUGCCAUAACCAACAAUCAUCAUGUAAUGCCGAAAAACAUUUAUCAAGAGUAGAUGCACAUUCUAUGUCAAUGAUAUAAACAUUACCACAUCUAUUUCCAACAAAUAAGGUUUUGCCAUCACAUGAGUUCUCAAUAACACAACUAAGUUUAUCAAAGAUAACUUUAUAACCUUUGUCACAUAAUUGACUAAUGCUAAUUAAGUUGUGUUUCAAAUUUUCAACCAAACAUACAUUCUCAAUUAGAGUUGAAGAGACUUUACCAACAUUUCCAAUUCCAAGAAUUUUUCCUUUUGAGUUGUCUCCAAAAGAUACUUCUCCACCAUUUUCAAUUUUGGUGAAGCUUGAGAACUAUGCAUAGUUUCCGGUCAUGUGCCUGGAACAACCGCUGUCCAAGUACCAUUUAUUUUUCUUCUUCUUCAAGCCCUACAAGAAAAAGUCUCAAGUUUUAGGUACCCAAAGCUUUUUGGGUCCUUGAGAGUUAGCAACGGUUCCUUUUGGAACCCAAAUGCAUUUGACACCAUAAUAUGCAUUCCUUUUCACGGGACAUCUAAAUUUCAUGUGACCAUUUUGAUUACAAUAAUGACAUGCAAUCUUAUGAUCAUUUGUGGAGGUAGCUUUAACAAAAUAAUUCUUAUAAUACUUUUGCUUCAAGUUAGGCUUAUAUCCAAGUCCUCCUUUAUCAAAAACACAUUUUUGUGAGUUAAGCAUAUUAUCCAACAUCUUUUGCCCAUUUGUAAAUUUCAAAACAAUUUCAUUCAAUUCAUUAUUCUUUUUCUUGAGCAAUUCGUUCUCAUUUUUCAACUCAUCUAUGUGUGAUUUCAAAUGCUCAUGUAAGAUGCUAGGUUUCUCAUUUGAUAAUGCAAUUUCAUCAUGCAAUGUUUUGUUUCCUACUUCUAGGCAUACAAUUCUUGCAUUUAGAGAUUCAUUUUCAUUUUUAAGCUUUGCCAUUUCCUUUUUAAGACAUACAUUCUUUUUACCAAUUUUCAUCAACUCAUUAUGCAAAUCUUGAAAAGCAUCAUAUAAUUCAUCAUAGGUAGGAUCACUUACCUCAUUGAGAUCAUCAUCCCCUCCUAUUGCCAUGAGUGCUAGGUUUGAUACUUCUUGCGAUCCUUCUUCAUCAUUUGAUUCUUCCUCACUAUCAUCCCAAGUUGCAACCAUUGUUUUCUUCUUGAGUUUGUUGAUAAGUGGGCACUCCGAUCUUAUAUGUCCAGGCUUCUUGCAUUCAUAGCAAGUGAUUGCCUCCUUCUUCUCCCUAUAGUUCUUGAAGUUUCUAAAAUUUCUUCGCUCUCCGAUUUUCUUGAAGAAUUUUCUGAACCUCAUUGCUAGCAUGGCUAGCUCUUCAUCAUCCGGUUCACUCUCCCCAUCACUCUCAUAUUUUGAAGCUUUGAGAGCAAUGCUUUUCUUCUUCUCCUUAUGUCAUUUUUCUGCAGCUAAAUCCUCUUUAUACGAAAUAAGAGAACCAAUUAAAUCAUCAAGAGGUAAAGUAUUUAAAUCUUUGGCCUCUUCAAUAGCGGUUCUUUUAGGUCUCCAUUCUUUUGGAAGUGACCUAAUGAUUUUCUUAACUUUCUCACUAUUUGUGAAGGUUUUCCCUAAGGCACCUAGGGUGUUCACUAUGUCCGUGAAUCUAGUGUACAUAGAAUACACAUUUUCAUUUUGUUCCAUUUGGAACAACUCAUAUUGACGAGUGUAUCUACUGAUUUUAGACUCUUUCACUUGAUUUGUCCCUUCAUAGACAACUUCAAGUUUGUUCCAUAUCUCUUGUGCACUUUCACAACUAGAUACUCUAUGGAAUUCUUUCUUAUCAAGGGCACAAAACAAAGCAUUCAUAGCCUUGGAGUUUAGAGACAUCUUUCUCUUUUCUAACUCACUCCAUUGACUCGAUGGUUUAGGAAUAUCAUCUCCUACUUCAUCUUUGAACGUAGGCAUGAAUGGACCAUCACAAACAACUUCCCAAAUUUCAUAAUCUAAGGCUUGCAAAUAGAUUCUCAUUCUAGUUUUCCAAUAAGCAUAGUCAUUACCAUCGAAAAAUGGUGGUCUAGUUGUGGAUUGCCCUUCUCUAAAGGUUGAGUCAUUUAGGGUUGCCAUGGAUCUUUUACUCUAGACGAUUAAGUCUUAACAAGAGAACGAGGCUCUGAUACCAAUUGAAAUACAAGUAUGCAACCCAAGAGGGGGGGUGAAUUGGGAUUCUAAAAAAUUAUUCAAUUUAUUAAAGAAAAUCUUAAUGCAAUUAUAAAUCAAAUUCAAAGCAAUAACAAUUAAGAGAAUCACAAUAUAAAAAGAUAAGGGAAGAGGGAUUCAAACACCGAGAUUUUUACGUGGUUCGGCCAACCUCGCCUACGUCCACGCCUCCAAACUUUCCGGGCUUGAGGAUUCCACUAAGCAAGCCUCCAAGGCUUCAAAUGCUUACACUUGACUUCCAAGGUGUCAAUGGACCAUUACAACAAGAGAUUAUCCCCAAUCUCUUAACCCAAGUGUAUCCCAACACUUACAAUAACUCAAAAUAAAAGAUUACAAACUGUUUUGCCUCUCACAAUAUAUAAGAUUACACAAUGAUGCUUAAUAUGUGAAUAGAUGAAGCAAGAAUGUGUUCUAAGCUCUAUGAAGAUUGUAUUCUCGAAUAUUAGCUCAAAUGGUCGUGUUGUGAUCAACCUUCUUUGAAUUUGAAUGAGCUUAUUUAUAUCUGGAUCUGAAAAUCUAGCCGUUACAAACUGUUGGACAGAAAACGGUUCGCCGUUAACCCUAAACGGUUAACCGUUUCGGUUGGUCAAAGUUACCGUUGGGCCAGAUUUCACAUAAACGGUUUGCCGUUUGUAAUUAACCUUUAGCCGUUAACUACCAGAGACCUGCAAGAUGAGCAUUUGUUAUCCGUUUACACUAAACGGUUAAGGACUUGCGUGAAGUAACGUUUCUGGAUAUUAUCGGUUAACCGUUUGAAAUAAACGAUUCGCCGUUUGUCUCCAGUAACCUGCAAAACAAUUUAGACUUAUCAAUUUUCGUUAAUCAGUGCCAGAGGAGGACAACCUUCAAUUCUGGACAUUAUCGGUUAACCGUUUAAAAUAAACGGUUCACCGUUAAGUUCCAAUAGCCUUUCCAUUCUUGGUGAUUUCCGUUUUCCAUAAACGGUUAGAGCUUUAGGCAUUAUGUCGCUCUCUGGUGUUAAUCGGUUAACCGUUUAAAAUAAACGGUUCACCGUUAAGUUCCAGUAACCUUCCCAUCUUUUGUGUUUUUCGUUUUUCAUAAACGGUUAGAGGUUUAGAAAAUGUGUUGCUCUCUGCCUUUAAUCGGUUAACCGUUUGAAAUAAACGGUUCACUGUUUAUAACCAAAAUUGCAAUUUUAAAUGAGUUUUUGUAGAGAAUCUCUUUCUAAUUUGAAAGUCCAUCUUUUAUGAAGAAAUAAGGCAAUGAAUAAAAAGGCUUUCGUCUAUUAAGAAAUAUCUCCAAUAUUUUUGUCAAAAACCAUAUAAAAUUUAUUAUCAUCAAAAUCAAUAUUAUUAACAUAUUUAUGUUAACACUAUGUUGAGGACUGCUGGUCUACCCAAUUCAUUCUGGGCGGAAGCAGCCAAAACUGCAUGUUAUAUAGUAAAUCGAUCGCCAUUUACAGCUAUUGGGCUGAAGACAUCGAUUUAGAUGUGGACUGGAAAGCCAGCUGAUUAUUCCUACCUACAUGCAUUUGGAUGUCCUGGGUACGUGAUGUACAAUGCCCAAGAAAGAACAAAGCUGGAUCCAAAAUCUAGAAUAUGUAUCUUCUUGGGGUAUGCUGAUGGAGUAAAGGGGUACCGUCUGUGGGACCCCAUUGCCCACAAGAUCGUCAUAAGCAAAGAUGUUAUCUUUAUAAAAGAUCAACUGCAAAGGAGAGAUGAUGACAUUGCAAAAGAAAAGUCAGAGACUGUGCCGGUAUAUGUGGAAAAUAAUCCAGAAGAUUCAGAUUCUUCAGAAGCAGCACCAAAGCACGAAGAACAAGAACCAGUUGAGUCCGAGGCUCCAGAAGUUCGUCGGUCAACUCGUGAGAGACGACCGCCAACGUGGCACUUGGAGUAUGUCACAGAGAUCAAUGUUGCAUACUAUCUUCUAACAGAGGAUAGAGAGCCUUCAACUUUCCAUGAAACUUUAAACAGCUCAGAUGUUGCUUUGUGGAUGACAGCAAUGUAGGAAGAAAUUAAAGCUCUACACAAGAACAAGACAUGGAAACUUGUACCACUACCACACAGAAGAAAAGCCAUUGGUAACAAAUGGGUCUAUAAGAUCAAACGUGAUAGUAAUGACCAAGUGGAGCGGUAUCGUGCAAGACUGGUGGUGAAAUGAUAUGCUCAGAAAGAAGGUAUUGACUUUAACGAGAUAUUUUCUCCGGUGGUUUGACUCACAACAGUCAGAAUAGUCUUAGCAAUGUGUGCUAUAUUUGACUUACAUGUAGAGCAGUUAGAUGUGAAAACUGCAUUUCUUCAUGGAGAACUUGAAUAAGAAAUAUAUAUGCUCCAUCCAGAAGGUUUUUCAUAAAUAGGAAAGGAGAACUUGGUUUGCAGGUUGAACAAAUCUUUAUACGGUCUUAAACAUGCGCCGAUGUGUUGGUAUAAGAGAUUUGAUUCCUUCAUCAUGAGCCUUGGAUACAACAGACUCAGUUCAGAUCAUUGUGCAUAUUACAAAAGGUUUGAAGAUAAUGAUUUUAUUAUUUUACUGUUGUAUGUGGAUGACAUGUUAGUAGCAGGCCCUAACAAAGAUCGAAUCUAAGAAUUGAAGGCACAAUUGGCUAGGGAGUUUGAAAUGAAGGAUUUGGGACCAGCAAACAAGAUUCUAGGGAUGCAAAUUCAUCGAGACAGAAAUAACAGGAAGAUUUGGCUUUUACAGAAGAAUUACUUAAAGAAAAUCUUGCGGCUCUUCAACAUGCAAGAUUGUAAGUCAAUUUUUAACCCACUUCCUGUUAAUUUCAAAUUAUCCUCAAGUAUGUGUCCUGGCAAUGAAGCAGAAAGGAAGGAUAUGUCUCAAGUACUGUAUGCAUCAGUAGUGGGGAGUUUGAUAUUCGCUAUGAUAUGUACUAGAUCAGACAUUGCACAAGCAGUGGGAGCAGUCAGUCGAUACAUGGCGAAUCCUGGUGGAGAGCAUUGGAUAGAUGUGAAGAGGAUUCUAAGAUACAUCAAAGGAACUUCAGAUGUUGCAUUAUGUUAUGGAGGAUCAAAGUUUACUGUCAGGGGCUAUGUGGAUUCAGAUUUUGCAGGAGACCUUAAUAAAAGGAAAUCCACUACUGGCUAUGUGUUUACGCUUGCGGGAGCAGCUGUAAGCUAGGUUUCUAAACUGCAGACUAUUGUGGCUUUAUCUACAACAGAAGCAGAAUACAUGGCAGCUACACAAACUUGUAAGGAAGCUAUUUGGAUACAACGGUUAUUGGAGGAGCUCGGGCACAAACAAGAGAAAAUUUCGUGUAUUGUGACAGUCAGAGUGCCUUGCACAUUGCAAGGAAUCCAAUCUUUCAUUCAAGGACAAAGCACAUAGGAGUUCAGUAUCACUUCGUUCGAGAAGUAGUGGAAGAUGGAAGUGUGGAUUUAUAGAAAAUUCAUACGAAGGAGAACCUAGCAAAUGUUAUGACCAAGCCAAUCAAUGCUGACAAGUUUAUCUGGAGUAGAUCCCUUGUGGCCUAGCAGAAACGUAGGCAACAUGAUAAUGGCGAAGCAGAAAGGAUGGUGUGGAGAUUGAUUGGUCCUCAAUCUAAUCUCCAAGUGGGAGAAAUGUCAAAAAGCGGGUGGCCUUAACAAGCCAAAUUCAAAUUGGCUUUGACAGCUAGCAAUCUAGAAAGAUUUGGUGCCGCCCAAAGAAAAAGAAGAAGAAUUUGGCAGCAACAAAUUUGGAAUGAAGAAAAAGAAGAAAGAAGAAAAUAGAAGAAUGAAGACGGUGGUAAAAAUAAUAAUAAUUUAAUAGCCAUUUUUUGGCUAUGAAAGGGAGAGCUCCCCAUUUCAUUUGGCAUCCAAUUUUUUGAGAGGCAUUCAAUUUAUGAGAGAGAAAAACCAGAGAGUUUUGUAGAGCUUAAAUAAUAAAAACUCUUGUGUUUAGUGAUUUGAGAGUUUGAGUGUAUUGAGGUUUUGGGUAGUGAGCUAAAAUACUACAGUACUUGUAACUCCUUUUUCACUAGUAUAAUAUUUUCCUUCUGCCUUUGCCCGUGGACGUAAGCUAAAAGCCGAACCACGUAAUUUCUGGUGUUCUCUUUUGUGCUUGUUCUUUAUUUUAUUACAAUUUUCAUUUUAGUUGCGUAUCUGCUUCACCCACCAAUUUCCUAACAUAAAUUACGUGGUUCGGCUUUUAGCUUACGUCUACAGGCAAAAAAUAUAUAUAUAUAUAUUUUACUAGUGAAAAUGAGUUACAAGUAUUGUAGUAUUUUAGCUCACUUCCCAAAACCCCAAUACACUCCAACUCUCAAAUCACUAAAUUUUUUAAAACACUCACUAAAUGAAAAUGAAGAAGAGAAACUAAAAUUUUGGGACGAAUGCAAAUGAGGUAUUAUUAUUUUAUUAAUUCUUUCUUUUCUUUUCCUUCUUCAGCCCGUUUCUAUUUUUUCUCUCUUUCUUUUUUUUCUUCUUCCUCUUUUGUCUUCUUUCUUCUUUUCCUUUUCCCUUUUCGGUGGGGCAUUGACAGAUGCGGGCUCCAAUCCUACAACUUUAGUCGAAAUGUUUCUCACUCAAUAUAUGUUUUUUUUAUAUUACAAAUGAUCUAACAAAUUUUGGGUAAUGAUAUUCAGAUAUAUUACAAAUGAUCUAAUAAAUUUUUGGGUAAUGAUAUUCAGCUAGAUCCUUAGUGAAGCAUGGCCUUUUAGAUUCUUUUUCUUUUUCUCAUCUUAUUGCCUGCUUAUUGAAGUGGGGUGCUAAGAACAUGCUUAAAAAUAAAUUAAUUCAAAAAAUUAUGGGAUCCAAUUAUAAAGAACAUGCUAAUUCCCACUUAACGUUAUAAAUUUGCAUUUUAAAAAUUGAAAAUAACAUGAAUGAAAUACGAAAGAAUGGACUACGUGGCUAGUGUGGCAGGCGGUAGCUGUUCUGUGCGUGGCACUGCUACUGCUGGGGCAUUAGAACUUAAAAUUAGAAAUAAUCAAUUAUAAAGAAAAUUAGUCAAAUAUGUAGUAAAAUUUUAUUUUAAAAUUAUUUAAGUUAUAAAAUUAGUUAUAUAUUUGACAAAUCUUAUAUAUUUGGAAAAUCUUUUUAUUAAAAUAUUAAAUUUCUGUUCUUCUUUCUAAAGUAUUUAGUUAUUUCAAUAAUACAAAUAAGAAGAAAUUAAUUUUCAACAAAAUCACGUAUAAAACAAUAUUCAACGAAAUUAAUUGCACAACUAUAAACGCGUGUAUAUAAUUUGUUUAUUGUGUGUAUGAAAUAAUUGGUGACUGAAGCAAAAUUAUAUUUAUACUUCAUUAAUGUCAUUUCUUUUACUAAAUAAUAAGAUAUUAAAAUUAAGGUUUAACUUCUCAAUAGUAAUCACUUUUGAGACUGACAUCAACAAUCCCAAACGGAUCCGUAGACACUUUAUGACUUGCAUGGCAAGCUUUUUUUAUCUUCAAACUUAUAAAAUUGAUCACAACAUACCAUAAAAAAGGAAUUGUGUGAUAACUUACUCGUUUGAAGGCUACCGUUCCUAUUGCUUGACGAGAUCGCAAUCUUACCAGUGCAAUGAUUCUUGCUUGACGAGUUCCCAAUCUUACCAUUGUAAGGAACCCGAUCCUUUGUUCUCUUUUGAUGACAUAAAGUAAAAUGAUUACUGAUAAUACAAAGGAGAUUGCAUGUGGAAAAAGGCUAGGACCCAUUAAAGAAAAUAAAUUAAAUUUGUACAGUAAGGGUUAGUUUGGAAAUGUUGUAGUUUUUAAAAUAAUUGUUGUUAGUUGUACGGUAAAAAUAAUGAACUGUAAAGAUAAUUAAUUAAGUGUUUUGUAAAUUUUAUUUUCAAAAAUAUUGUGAGCUUUGAAAACAGUUAUGAAUGUUUGGUAAAAAUCUUACUGUUAAACUGUUGUGAGAAAUUAAAUGAAUAAAAUGUACAUAAUACAAAUAUAUAUAUAUAUAUAUAUAUAUAUAUUAUAAAAACAUUAUAUACAAUAUUUUUAAUUGUGUAUUAUAAUAAUUUUAACUAAAAAUAAAAUUUAUACUAUAUUGAUUUUUUUUGUUUUAUUUUAUUUAUCUUAAAGAGUUGAUAAUUAAAAAAAAAUCAACCACAAUUAUCAUUAAAAUAACAUCAAUCAAAGUAUAAUGAGGUACUCCAAUAAAUAAACAUAAAAAAAUGUAAUGAACUACAAAAAAUAAAAAAGAAAACCAAUAACAGAACAAGAAAUAGGGUAAAAAGGAAUGUGUAAAUUAUAAUAACAAUUAUUAAAUUAUUGAUUUUAUUUCCAAUUUGAAUAAGGAUAAUUUUGGGUUUAUAUAAUAAUUGUAAAGAUAUUUAUGGAAUUAUAUUAUAGGAUAAAAUUGAUUUUCAAAAUUAGAAUCUAAAAGGUAUUAUUUCUUUGUUUUUCAAAAUCAGCUGUAAGAGGAGUUGAUUUUGACAAAAAUAAUUUUGAUUUAUUUUACCAAACACUAAAAGUAAUUGUUAGAUUUUUAAAAUUACUUUUAAACAUUUCAAAAACAGUCCUAAAUGGGCCCAUAAGUUUUUCUUUCUUUUAUAUUUUCAAUUUCUUAUCACUAACCGAACAAUAAUAAUAAAAGAAGGAAAAAGGCUAGAUAACGGAUAACCCACCAAAAACAAUAGAAGUUCCCUGGAAAUUUAUGGAAAUACUUUUCACAUUUCAAUUUCACCAAAAGUUACACUCUCAACUUUCGUGUAAAGUUAACCAAUUACGUAAGUUUUAGUAGAGGUGGCAGAAAAACCCGUCCGGACCGGAUCCGGCCCGGACCCGGCGUGUGCGGUCCGGGUUUUACCCAGACCGCAUGAAUGAAAAAAGCGGAUCCGGGCAUUGAUUUUCAAUGCCCGGAUGCUUCCGGGCACGGGUCCGGUCACAGCACCAAGAACCCGGAACCCGGACCCCUGCCCGAUUUUUUAUUAAGUAAAAAAAAAAAAGAAAAUAUAAAACCGAAAAUAAAAUUUGCUUUGCCCAAUUGCCCCCAAAACUUAACCCUAAAACGCGAUUGCAACUUUGCAAGUGAACAACACAACACUGCAGCAGUCAGCAGUUAGCACCCACCCUGAAAUCUCCAAAUCGGCGGCACCUCUCUCCGUCUCUCCACCACCCACCGGCACCGAUGCAGUGUUGACCGCGCCUCUCCCUCUCCGAAACUCUUACCUUCCUCAGUCAACUCUAUUUCUCCUCGCAAAGCACAGCCGUCCUGUCACAGAGCUCUUCACUGUUUGGUCUUCUCAGUGGCAGCCACCACGCGACGGCAUCAGAUGUUCUUGUUCAGCUGCAACUUCACCAACACUGCCACGACCCACGACCACGAGGUAUUAUUAAUUUUUUUUGGCUGUUUUUAAAAAAAAAUGAAGAAAUUAAGUAAUUGGCAUUAUUGUUGUUAGGUGUUAUAUAUAUAUAUGCAGCAUGCUUAAUUAUUUUCUUGGAUGACAUCCAAGAACUAGAAGAAGGGGAGUACGAGGAAGAUGAAGUAGAAGUAGAUGAAGAUGAGGAAGAAGAAAAUGGAAGUGUCCAUGAUGACGGAGAAGGGGAAAGGGAGGCUGAUACCGAAAACUAUGAAGUUGAAAAUGACUUGCAACAUAGGGAAUUGCAGGUUUAAGGAUAGUGAUUUCAGGUUCUGACUUUGUUUCCAAGGGAUUUGAAAAUAAGCAGACAACAAAGCACAUGAAAUCAACUUUGCUGUCCACAAGAUAAUCCUGGGCAUUUUUCUUUCCUCUUCACUGUGGAAAAAGAAGAGAGAACAAAAAGACCAAGGCAUUUUUCUUCUUUCGUCAAAUCAAUUCCUGGGCAUCAAAUCUCUUUACAGUUUGAAAGGGAGUUUCUGCUAAGUGCUAAUUCGGGGAUAAGUUAUGAAUUUCCAGGCCCAAUUGCGCAAGCUUUCAACCUUGUGAAUUUCCACUGCCCUGUUUACUUAUUUAGCAUUUUUUAUCAAUUUUUUUUUUUUAGCCAGUUUUGAAAAUGCGGGUAGAGAAAACCCGGAAAAAACCCGUGCCUGGAUAGUGCCGGGCAUAUACCCGGCCCGCAUAGAAAAAAUCAGGGCACGGUCCGAGUCCGGGCAGUUAUGUGUGAAAUCCGGGUCGGUCUUGGGCACCCCCAAACCCGGACCUGACCCGGACUUUUGCCAUCCCUAAGUUUUAGUCACAUUUACCCAAAAUGGACGCACGCCACCUGUCACUGAGAAAUAGCAUCGCUCAGGAGACUACACCCAACAUUCAUCACCUAGAAGAUGACAGUGGUCACCCACCCGCUGUCUGGAUGCUCACCGUCGCCCAGUUUUCUGGCCAUCUCCCACCCAUCUUGAAAUCCAACGACAAAGUCAACAAUUUGCAGCCCACGACAGACCAAGUAGGUUGCCAUUCACCUUUUUUUUUAAAAUCAAAUUGAGAUUUGAGUGAAAAUGGCAUCGAACAAAACAAAACAAAAAAAAGGAAAAAAAAAAUUUCAAAGACAUUUAAGUCACUUGGUGUGCCAUGAACUUUAACCUCUAUUUCUUCCAAAAUUAUCAAAUUUUUUGCGGCCCAAUUCAAACACUAACAUUCUUCAAUCCACAAUAAACCCUCAACAAUCAAGUCAAAUGAAUAAUGUUAAAUCGUGGGCUGUGGUGAGAGAUGGGAGAGAUUGGGUGUUUUCUUUUUCUUUUGUAUUUUGGUUGAUUAAGGGUAAGUGUGUCAAAAUGGCAUGAAGUUGGUUAUAUUUGUAAGAACUAUGGGAGAGACUUCUUUGAUAAAUUAAAGGAUAGAAAGUGGUCAUUUCUGUAGAUCUCCUAAAAUUCUUUUAAUUUUUUUCUAAUUAAUUAGGCAGUAGAACAAGACUGCCAUUUUUUUUUCUUUUAAAUCAAGGGGACUACUGUUGGGAAAAUAUGCUCUUUAAAAGCAUAUAUGUUUAUUUUAUUGUAAUAAAUAAUUUUUCUAAUUAAUAAAAUAAAUGAGGUAUUUUAUUCAAAUAUCUUAAUUGCAUUAAUAUUUAUAUUAAAAUCCAUUUAAUCAUAUUAUAUGUAUUUAUGUGAUCACCAUGUGGAUUCACAGAAGACAUAAAUACAAGUUAUCUUAUGAUUAAAUAAAUUUAGUUCGCAGUUGAUAAAUAAAGUUGGGCACUUUAUUUAGGUAUAGACUGUAAUAAAUUCAUUGAAUGAUUUGUCUUAAUCAUGUAUGAAUUUAUUGAUGUAGUACGACUACAUUGAACAAGAUCACAUAUGAGAUUUAAUUAACUUUGUAAUAACUGUCAGACUUAUUAAAUCUCAUAGGCAUUGAUUUUACUAUAAUCUUAAUCUUGAGUUAAUUAUGAUUUCAUGAUUGUAAUUGUUAUUCCAUUUGAGUUACUAAUGGGCACGACACAUCCUUGUGGUCAAGAUUACCCGGUAUCUUGGUGGGAGCAAUUAUGAGUAUUGGAGUUAUGGAUUAAUAAUAUAGAAUUUGUACAACACAUCUCUUGAUGGGUUUUCGGCACUUGAUCAUAGAAUUCUCUGGCCAGAAUGUGUCAACAUAUUUAGUAUGUUGAAAAUGAUCAUUAGAGAAAACCAGUAAGGAUCAAGGAAUAAGAUGUUAUUAAAUUGAUUGGACAGUUGAGAUAUCAAUUUAAUUAACGAUGUGGUACAAAGGAUUGUGCAGUAAAGAAAUCAAUGUGGCUUGGGACGAAUUAUUAUUCGAGCAUACAAUUAUGGAAGUCAGUUCCAAUCUUUUAGUGGAGUAGAUUUGGAAUUAAAUAAUUGGGCUAGUUUAAUUACAGGCCUAAUUAUUGUAGCCACUAUUGUAUGUUCCCAAAUGAUCCCCGGGUUAGCUCAUUUAAUUGACUGCACCACUACUGGACUAAUAAGUAAGAUAACUAGCUAUUUGGGUCAAAAGCCUAAAUAUAUCAUUUAAUGGGAGGCUCCAUUUAAUUAGUUUUUGUGUAAGGGGCCUUAUGUUAUUUUACAAGAUGGGUCCCCUAUAGAAAAAGCAAAUAACGUGAGUUUUGUUUUUUUGAUUAUUUGGAGCAUAGGGUUUUCACUAAAGGGUGAUAUAAAAGGCUUAUUUUCUCUAAAGAAAAAGGAGUAGCCACUUUAUACAGAUCAGAGAAAAAGAUUUUUCUCUCUAUUGUUGAUAGAAAAAUUUUCUCGUGCUAGUUGCAUUGGUAGUGAUAAAGGCGCCCACACGUCAAGUGUAGAUCAAACAUGAGUCAUAACCUGAAAGAUCAUUAGUGACAGUUCGUGAUCUAACAAGCGUGGUGGUGACGGAUCGUGAUCCAAAAGGAGUGGUGGUGGCGGCGGAUCGUGAUCUAGGAGCCUAAAUCACUUCAACGGAAAAAGCCAAAUCGGAUUUUCAAAAGGUUUUAUAAAAAAUUACAAAUUCUUAUAUGUUAUAUGAGAGCGAUCUUCAAAAGGUUUUAUAAAAAAUUUAAAAACCUAAUUUUUCCCCAACAACUACCACUUUGAAAAUUUAUUUAUAUGUUUACUAGGUUGGACUAUCUCAAGCUUAGUGCUAACUAACGUCCACAACCCUUGAAUCCUUGAUUUUUUUUUUUUUUUUUUAUCAAUGUUUUAGAUUGUGUGGACACUUAAAGGGUGACCGGGUAAAUAGAUUACAAAUUUAGCAAAUAAAAAAUAGCACAUUUUGGUGCAGAAGAUUGAAAGCAUUUUUUUAUUCAAAUCAAUAUAUACCAGUAGCAUUUAUCCCUAAUUAUUUUUGUAAUACCCAAUAACUUCUUUGGCACCAUAACUUUACAAUAUUAUAUUUAUUUUUAAAUAUGAUUUUAUUAUUUUUAAUAAAUUGAAUAAAUCAUAUAAAUUAGUUAUUAACGCCUUCCAAAAGAAGAAUAAUGAUUUUUUUUGAAAAUAUAAAAUGUAAAAGUUGAUCCCUUGAAUUUUUUUUUUUUUUUAAGUAAAGGUUGUCGGCUCUGCUUAAUUUAGAAUAAUAUGUCUUUUCGUGGUGAGAAACGCAAUUCAAAUCACCUUUCCCUUUUGCCAUUGCCAUUGGCAUCCGAUUCUAUCCACACUAUUUGCAUUCAGGAAGUAGUUGUUCAUGAUCACGAAAGUGUUUUAUUUUAAGAUAGGGAAAAUGGCACUUUUAUCCCCUCAGUUUGAUGAAAUGUGCACUUAGACAUCAAUUUUUUUUUAAAUGGUCGUAUAAAUUUCCUUUUGAUGAUUUUAUCCUUUUACUCUAUUAACUUAAAAAAUUGACUCUAAAUUUUAUAAUAUAUAAAAAUAUAAAAAUAUUAUUAAUACGCCAAUCAAAUUUUGCUAAUAGUAAAAUUUAUUUAACCCAAAGAUUAUUUUAUAAAAAUAUAUAUAGCAGAUGAAAUAUAAUAUUAAAAGUAAAUAAUAAUUUUCAUUUUGAAAAUAUUUGAAAUAUUAAAAGAGUUAUUUUAAUAUUAUAGAUAUGUUAGAAAGUUUUAUUAUUAAUGGUUUAUUUCCAUUUGGUAAAAGACUUUAAAGUUAAUAUUCUUAGCUACUAUAUUAAAAGGCUAUAAUGGUAAAAAAGAGGUACGUGGGAUAGCGUGAGCAUUUAUGAAACCUUAGAGAUCUACGUGUUUAUUUGAGUAAACCAUCGGAGUAUAGGUGCCCUUUAUCCUUUAAUAAACUAUCAAAAUUUAGCUAUAAUAUCGUGUGCAUAUCACGAUAUAAUAUCAAUUUAUUUAUGCGAGGUAAAUGCUCGUUUAGUUUCUAUAAUUUGACUUAAAUAUUCGUUUUAGUCCCUGCAUUUCAAAAAAUUCAUCAAGACAACCUUACUGUUAGACAUGCUAUACUCCUGCCCUUAUUUUUUUUCCUUCUAUAAUAAUAACUAUGUAAUGAUAUUCUUGGAGAUAUUAAUUAAAAAAUAAUGAUUAAUCAAAUUCACCUAAAAAGAAUGAUUAAUCAAAUCACCUUAAAAGUAAUAUUAAAAUUUACACAACUUUUAUAUUAUUAUUUUAAUUUUAGGAUUAAUUCGGUCAAUUCAUUUUUUUAUAAAAUAAUUAUUCGUAAGAUUGUUGUGAAUAAAUUAAAUAUUUCUUUAUGUUGGUUGAUAUUAAUUUAUUUAUAAAUAACUAUUACUAUAAUUGUUACAUAGGUACAAAAAAUACUAGUUCUUUCGUAAUAAUAUUUAUUGGUCAAUUUGCUAAUAGAUAAUUAUUAGUUAAUUUGCUAAUUAACUUUUUAUAGAUAGAUUAAUUAAUGUCAAGAAUAUUGUUGGAAGGAUAUUAUUGUAAAAGGGCUGAAAAAGUAAGGGUAAGAAUGUAAUAUAUUUAAUUACAGAAGUGUUUUGAAGUUUUUUUUUUUUUUUAAAUAUAGUGACUAAACAAACACUUAAGUCAAGAUAUAGAAACUAAAUGAACAUUUACCAUAUUAUGUGCCUGUCAUUGUUUCUCGGUGACAAAGUCAAAGAUAAAUUGAAGUUAUACAAAGAAGUCACUUUGGUUCAAAAUAUCUAUUUUAAGAAUUUAAAGUCUUACGGUUUUAUUUCUUAUUAUUUGUAUUGUUAUUGAAGUUUAGAACUUUGAACUUUAGAUAUUUGAAACCUCGGAUAUUUUCAGGAUCAUAAAUUUGUAAUAUUUUAUUUUGUUUAAUUUUUUAUGUUUAUCAAUUAUUUAUAGGGGAAAGCCACCCACACCCCUAACUUGCUUAAAUGGUCACACAUAUCUCUUUAGUUUUAUAAAUAAACUAUUAUAUCAUUGAUUACAAUAGCCCAAUAAUUAGCUUUAAAUAAACUUUUAUAAUAAAUAAAAAUAAAAAUAAAAAUAAUAUAAUAUAUAAAAUAAGAUGAAAUUUAUAAAAUAUUUUGAAUAUUAGAAAAGUUAUUUUAAUAUUAUUAAUCUGUCAUAUUGUUUUAAUAAUAAUAAAAUCUAUUCGAUAUAUUAAUAAUAAUAAAAUAAUUAUACUUAAAAUUCACAGUAAUUCAUAAAAUUUAUAAUUACUUUAUUUACAAUAUCUUUUUAAUUAGGUCUAUAUUAGUAUAUAUCUCAGAGUCAAUUUUUUAUUAAUAGAUUUUAGUAUUAAUAAAAUCCAUGAGGAUAGAUUAAUAAUAACUAAAUAUUAAAUAUAAUUUCCAUUAUAUAUGUUAUUUUAUUAAUUGUACUCAUUGUAAUAUUUUAUUUGUGUCAUAUGAUAUUUAUUUAUUAUUUUUAUGUUAUCAGUAUAUUAAUUUAUAUUGAUUUGAGUUGUAUGAUCAAAGUAUAUAAUAGUUAUUUUUAAAAUUAAGGUGGUCAUGUGUGUUCAUUUAUGAAACUAAGGGGGUAUAUGUGACCAUUUAAACAAAUUUUGGGGGUGUGAGUAGCUUUUUCUCUUAUUUAUAUAAAAUAUUAGAAUCAUAGAUGAAGAAAUUUAAAUAACUCUAAAUUUUUAAUUGAUUCAUUUAUUAAUUUUGUUAAAUAAAUUAAAAUAAAUAUUCAUUUAAUAAAUAAAUCAAAUCCAAAUUCGAAACCAAUACUGGUUAGUAAUGACUAUCCUACGGGGGAUUAGAUAAAGAGUAUUAUUACCACUCUUUUGGUUAAAACUUUUUCAACGGAUGUGAAAAAGCUUAAUAAUAAAGGCAAACAAACUUUUUGGUUUGCGGCACCAACGACUGCAAAGGAACCUAUGAUCUGAACUGACUUGAUCCAUUAGGAGGCCUUUUGAGUAAUAUUUGAAUUUUUGCGCAUGGGAGGACUUAAUCUUACUUUCCAACUCAUUGAAUGUUCUUCAAAGGGGAAAAAAAUGAUCUUGCGUAGAUUUUAUUUUUUCUUGACGGCUUUGUUCAGUAGAUUAAUUAAUUAUUGAAUUUGCUCUUCAGUUUUAGUACUUUUUAAGUCUUUGCAGCUAAUUGACGUUCGCUACGUAAUUAACAAUAAAUUAAACUACUUAAUAGGGAAGCAAAUAGUAUCUGUUCACAUCUUCCUCAGAAAUCAGAAUAAAUAAAUUAUGGAGGUGUAGAACUUCUACGCAAUUUCCAUCCAUCUUUUUCUUAAUCAAUAAUCACAAUCGACCAUGAAUCUAGUACAAAAUCUGGGGAUAAAACAUAAUAAUUAUAAGAAUUCUAUCUGCAUCCUUAUUCUUCAUAACAAAAACACUUUAUUAAAUGAAAGGAAAAAAUAAAUAAAUAAAAGCACAUUUGUCAAAUGAUCAAGAUUGUAACAAUAAAAUAAGAUUAAAGAGGCAUUAAUACCAAGAUUAAUAAAACUAAACAUCUCUCUUUUCGGGACUUUUGGGAGGAUUUAAACAUUUUUUUCCAUCUCCUCUGACUUUUCUUGGAAGGCAAUCAUUAAAAAUGUGCGAAGUUCUUGUGUUGGUUCAUCAUUUGGUGUAUGAGUGGCUUGGAUACGUGUGGUUUCUGUUUGGAUUUCAUCAGGCUUUUGUUUAGGAGAAGGGUCUUUCUGAGGACUUUGUGUAAAUGACGUUUUACAAAAAGACUGAGAAAGUUAACAGAGAAGCAAAACCCUAUUGACGAAACUUCUCAUAAAUCAUAAUCAAAGGAAUUGCCUCCCAUCUUUCUCAUAAUAAAAUAAUACCGAUGAAGGAAAAUUUGCGAAUCGGAUAAUUCAAUAAUCAUGAUCAGUCAAGAAUAAUGAUAAUACAAUUAUAUUGAAUUAUUUGAAUCGCAAAUUCACCUUUAUCAGCAUUAUUUGCGAAUCGAAUAAUUCAACAAUCAAAAUUUUAUAUGUCUCUCAUCUUUUGGUAAAUGAUGAACAUGAUAAAUAGAAAGUGUAUGCAAUACAUAUGAUAGAAUAUGAAAAUUCUAGAAAAUAAUGGUUUGAAUUUUUUUUUGUUUUGAAUAGAAUAAUGGUUUGAAGUUAAGUCCUCUGGUUUUGGUAAACUAAAAUUUCAUCCUAAAUUCAAUUAUUUAUUGGUUAGGGAUAUUUCUACCUCACUAUUUUUGUCCAUCUAACCCAUUUUUAAUAAAUAAUUACAAAGGAUUCCUAAUAUUUUUUUAAAAAAAAUAAAUUAAUAAAAUUUUUGUACAGUCAAUCAAUUAAAUCCUCCUAUUAAUCUUCUCCUAGGUUUCAUUGACCAUCUUUGUUCAUAAACUUUAAUAUAAGUUUUAUUUUAAUAUUUUAUUAUUAUGAUGUAAAACGACCAAAUUAACCAAUAAAUAUGAGUUAUUGUAUCUAAUUAUAUAGAUAUUUAAUUAUAUGACUUAUAAUCUAAUAUUUUAAAUAAAAUCUAAUUAUUAUUUUCACUAUCUUAUGUAUAAAUGACAUAAAUUUUACAGCUCAAUAAUUUACAUGAGCAUUGUGCCAUAAAAACACUAUGUUAGUUUAAUUAAAGUUUAAUAAUCAUACUAAUAAAGUAGUAUUAGAAACAAUAAUUUUGGUAUAAAAUUUUGUGUUUUCUAACAAAAAUAUUCAGGGGUAUUUUUGUCAAUUUGCUACUUUUAUAAUUAUAAUAAAUUCAGGGUUAUUCAUAAAAUCAUGGUUAAAACUAUUAUUUAACAAUUUAAGAGCAUAACAUAAUUUUUUAUCUAUUAAUUGAUACUUCUAUUUGUGUAUUUUACCGUAAAGAAUAAAAUUGGUAUUUUACUAGUCAACUAACUGGUUAAUCAAUGGUUUAAAAGAAAAAAAAUAGUAAAUGAACGGUUUUGUAAAGUUAUAGUAGUAAAAUGAUAGGGAACAAUACUUUUUGUAGUUAUUUGAUGUUUUACAAUUUUUAAAGUAGUGAAAUGAUAAUAACCUUUAAAAUAAUUAUGAUUCUAUUAACAACUCAAUUGGCAUUAAAAAGGAACAUUUCCAAUACCAUUAAAAAAUAAAGAAUAUUUUAUAUUGAUAACUGAUAAUAUACAAUUAAUAAUGUUAAAGAAAAACAAUAUUAAACACAUUAUAGCUAAAUAAUUGGAGGAUUGGAAUCUCAAGAUAAAUCCCAAUCUCAACCUAAAUUAGCUAUUGGGAUCAAUUUCUUUUUCAAAUCCCAAUGCUUUUAAAAUUAAUCCUAAUAAUGUGGAUCAAUCCCGUCUUGAUCAAUAUGGGAUCCUGAAUCCCUAUUGGGAUUUAAGAUUUUUUGUCAUUCCUAAAUGAUAGUGCUACAAAUUCUUGUAUAAACUGAUGUAGCAUAAUCUAAUGAGUAAAUAUUAAGCUAUAAAUUAAUACUUGUUUUGUACAUACUGAUAUGACAUAAUUUAAUUGGUUGGAUUAAAUAAUAUCAAAGAAGGUUUUAAUAAAUAUUUUCAUUGAAAAAGGACAAGACUAAAAAAACAUUCAUUCAAAGAUUCCUAAACUAAAAAUGUAAAAUAGCAAAUCUAUUUAUACUAACUCAACUAAGUUAAAACUGCUUAAAUAACACAAUUCUUGUAAAAUUAGAAUAACAACUCAGAAAACAUGUUAUAGAGUUUUGUCCUUCACAUUUUGUCCUAAAAAAAGUCAUGUUCAUGGAGUUUAAGAUUUCUUAGGAAGGGUUCAAUGUCAUCAUCAAUAUUCAGUCUUUGGGAUUUCCAUUGAUCCGUUUCCAAACUUUAAAUCGCACGAGUUGCCCCUCAGACUUCUAGAAUUCUGCAUAAUUAAAAACAUUAAGGAUUAAUUGGACAGGUAAAAUGUGUGGUAAACAUGGUGGUGUACAAAUUAGACCUCAAUUAUUGCAAUGAAAAAUCUAGCUACAUUUUAUGGUGAUGAAGUUACUGUUUGGUAUUGGAAUACUUAGCAGUGGGUAAAAUCGAGUUUGGAUCGGGUUCAUAUCAACCCGAUCUGAACUCAAUCCUAUUUUUAGAUCGGAUUGGACUAGACCCGAUUCAAAUAUAUUCGGAUCGGAUCAGUUUCAGGUAAAUCGGGUCAGUUCAGGUCAAUCGAAUGAUUAUUUAAAUUUUGCCUAAUAUAUCAUAUCAAGUUUUGUUGAUCGUAGAAAACAAUAGUUGGAGCAAAAUUAAACUAAAAUCCAAUUGAAGUCCAAAUAUAUAUGAUCCAAGAAGAGAUUAAUAAAAAAUCUCAGGACAAAUUAAAUACAAGAUAAAUCGUUCGGGUCAAGGUGGGGGGCAGCAAUAUUGUAGUGUAUGUGGAUCAAAUAGUGGCAACAGCAGCUGCGAUGCAGGACAACAAAACACGUCAGUGAGUUGCAGAUCGCGAUGGCUUCACGCGGGUGCAUCAGUUGCGUUAGAUCACCUUCGCGCGGUUGCAUUAGUUGUGUUAGAUCACGUCAGGGCUGCUUUACUGUCGUGCUGCAUGUGUCUGCCGUGCUAUGUUUGGUGAGUGCUAUCAACCGCCGUUCCAUAUAUGGCUCCGUGUGGUACGCUGCCAUUGUGUUGUGUGCGUGAAGUGCUAUUGUGUUGUGUGUGUGAAGAGAAAGAGUGAAAGACCAUGAUGUUUGAUUGUUUGUAAGAUGUAAUGUUGAAUUAGGUUAGGUUAUGUUUUUUUUUUUUUUUAACAAGAGGCCAACCUGAUCAGAUUUUCAAAUCAGUUCAGGUUUAAUUCGAUUCGAUCACGAUCCGAUCGUGUUGGUUGAAAUCCAUCCGAUCGAACUAUAUGGUUAAGCUAAAUCAAAUAGCUUCCAAAUCACAACAUCAUUUAAAUGUUUGGUUAAGUAACCUAUAUAGUAACCAUCAAGCAUUGUAGCGUAAUAAGAGAACUUGCAUGGUCAAUUGUGAUGGAAUAGUUAUUGAUGCUAAGAUUUUAUUCUCCUCCCAUUAAAAGGUAGAGAUAGAUAUCUCUCUCACAAAUAUGGGUAGAGCUCAUAUAUGCCCAGAUGUUAGUGGGGUAUAUGCCAGAAAAUAAAAACAAACACAAUGAGUAAAACAAAUAAACCCAGUAGGUAAAUAAACUGCAGCAACGUAAACAGCAACUGGAAAUCACAACUGGAAAACAGCAGGGAAAAGAAAAAUCGAAACAGAAAAUAAAACCCGAGGCCUGAACAGGACAGUUUCCUUAAAACAGAUUUACCACCUACUGAAGUGCUUUAGGUCUGGUGGUAAUUGUUUCCCAAGAUACAACGGGGACGAAUUUUCGGUGAAGUACAUACAGGUAAUUCCGGCGAACCACAACAGCGGUUAACUCGAUCAAAAAAAACAGAUGAAAGAAGAAGGAAAGAAAAACAGCAAAUGCUCUGUGUGCUGGUUUAAGCAUGUGCAAAAAUAGAAGAGAAUGUGCCUUUUCGAAUUCAAUAUAUGCAAUUAAAUAGUUAUAACAGCCAAUUCAAUUCACUCAAUUGAUUUCAAAAACGUGAAACUGUUACAACAAAAAAUUCAAAGGAAAUUAAAAACGUGCCAUGCAAGGUUGGAUGAUUUUGGGCUGACAUUUGCGUACGCACACAAGUUCAACCAAAUCGGUCUUGAAUUUUGCACCCCCAUGCGCGUGUGGAGAGACCCUCUAUUCUUAUAAUUCUUAUUAAUGUAUGGUUAAGUGUUUAUAUAUAAACACUAAUCCCUUAGCUUCUUUUUCCCAUGUGGGAUAAGCCUCAUUUCCUUUCAAAUUUCCAACUUCAAGGGUGAUCUUUGAGAGACAAUUUCUCAUUCACCCAAGUACCAUUUUGAAAAAAUAAAAUUACACUUUUGAAGUAUUAACGGAAUAGAAUCCGAACCUCACAAGAUUUCUCACUUUUACUAAGUGGGACCCAUUUAAAAUGUGCCCUCAAAAUAGCAUAUAGACAUGCUCUUUUUUCAACAGUAUAUAUAUCACUAUAUUAUGGGCUGUAAUAUGAUAGAAUUGAUUUAGAUUAGUCUAAAUGGAUCCUUGAUUGUAAAUAUUGGUGUAAAAUAUUAGUAAAACUCUGAUUGUAUUAAAAGAAGUUACAUAUGUGGAGGAAAAAAAAGAAGAAUUAGAUAAAAAUUGUGGUUAAAAUCGUUAGCUAAGACUAAUAAAAUACUAUAAGGCAUGCUUUUAGGUGUAAAACAUGAGGAACGCCAUUUAAUAUGGUAGAUUUGGUUGAAUUAGAUGAAACUAAACGGGAUUGGAUAUGAUUAAUACGUACUUAUGGUCAGUAAUUUCAUCAGCCAUCACUUGCUUUUAGAAAAUGUACAGUGAAGAAGUAAUUGGAAAUAUGUUAAAAUUUGAAGUUGCGGUUCAGCCACAACUUUUAAAGGAACCCAAAACUCAAAAUUAUACAAGACAGUACCAGCUGGAUCUAGGAUCUGGAAUCCCAUAUGGCCUGGUCUUUCUGACGUAUAAAAUUAAACAAGUGCCUCUGCAAAAUUCCUAGCUAGGACCAAUUAAAGAGACAUCAAAUUAAGAUUUGGUUUAUUUAAUUAAUGAACGCUUCAUUGAACUUGCUUAAAAAUAAACCAAGGGUUUAGAUUACAUCAGUGAAAACAACAAAGGAUGACAAACUCAUAGUAUACUUUUGUCUUCAUUUUAAUUCCUUUGAUGACUCGCAUCCUUAUCUUGCAGUGUUCUCGGUUGUUCUACGCCAAAACCUUGCAGAGGCUCUCGUAUCAACCAUAUGAUUGAGAGCACUUCUGAUCGGCACAAGGGAACCAUCUGAUUUGCACAAAAUUUUCAAUUAUGGCUUCCCCGCCAAAAUCAUUUCAUUGGCGCAUUCUGUAGAGCACCUGCGAACAUGUAUCAGCACCUUAUUUUUUUACUGUGACUGAAGUUGUGUAUGAUACAAUAAACGUGGCAAACACACGCCUCAAAUUGACAUUUUAUUUCUAAUUUUCUAUCAUUACUACAACCACAAGAGUGCCUCAAAAUUGAAACAGAGCCUGUCGUUUAUUUAAAUAGGCAACAACUGGUAAUAAAAUGUGUACAAAAUUGAGAAGAAGCAUGCGAAAUAACUACAACCAUCUUGAUUCAUGUCUCCAAUGCCAUGAUCACUGCAGAUGCUCCCAUAUUCAAUAACUGUGCGUUUGUAAACAGUGCUUGCACAAAGGUUAGUGGAAGCAGGAAAGCAGCAGCGAGAAAGGAGAAGAUUGCUCAUGGAGUAUUGGCAUUAUAAAUGUGCCUCAACUUGGCCUUUCACUUAUUACGACGCCCAAUGCAAUGCAAACUUUAUUGAUAACUGAUUAGGAGAUGAUCUUCAUUACCCCGUUUUCGAACUUUAUAUCAAACAAGGAACCAUCCUUAAGGACGUCAACCUUCUGGAGCUCGUAACGAAGCGGGAACUAUAAACGAACAAAGUUCUGAAUUAAAAUUGUUUAUUGAUCAAGAGUUGUAGACAUUCUAAGGUUUCGCUCCUUUAAUACAUAGAAUGCAAAAUUACCAAAAGGGGCAAAACUAAACAUAAAAUAAAAUUCUGAUGUCUGAAAUAAUAAAAAAAAUUGCGUGCAAUUCGAGGGCAUCCAGAAAGCCGGAUAUCCGGAUCCGGUUAAUUUUUAUUAAAAUAAUAUAUAAUAUAAAUAUAUAUAUAUUAACUCAAUGUAAAAACCAAUCUAACCUAAUCCCUAACCCUAUCUCAUUCACACGCACGCUCACAAAACUUCUCCAGCCACCGCAACCCACAAAUGACAAAUCCCCAACACCCAAAUCCCCCAAUGCCGUAAGGAUGUCGCCGUCUGCCUCACGGCCUCGCCUAAGUCUCGUGUCCAAGCCUCGAUCUGAGUCAGCUGCUGUCGCUACACGCCUCGCCGUCGUCGAAUCCUCGCCUUCGUCGAAUCAUUCCAGUCGUCGAAGCCUCGCCUGAGCGCACCGCUGUCGCUGUCGUCGACGACUCGCCUGAUGGGAUCUUACUUUUGUUUCCAUUUUUCCGGUCAUCGAAGCCUUGCCUUGCCACACCGCUGUCGCUGUCGUCCAAGGCUUGCCUGAAUGGGUCUUUUUUAUGUUUCCAUUUUUCUGGUAUUAUUAAUUACAUGGCUUUUUUUUUAACCAGUUAAUGAUUUGGUAUUUUGGUUGAUUGUUUGAUUGUAAUUAACGAGUUCAAUCUAAUGUAACAUGUUUAAGCUUCAAAAUUUCACUGGCUCAAUUUAAUUUUCUUUGCUGAUUCAAUUUAGUUUAAUUUUGAAUAAUUUUCAUUGCUGAUUCAUUUAAUCAAUUUAAUUAAAUGCAUUAAUUUUCAAUAUAAUGUAAAUGUUUAAUAGGUUUUGGGAUUAGGUUUUUAAUUAGGUUUUAAUAAAUUGUUGAAUUUUUAAAUUAUUUUUUUAAUUA
rnacentral:lncRNA from 1 species